ACCUGAUCACCAAGAAUCCCAAGCAAAGUUUCCCUCUCAUUUUCCAUCAAAUCAUGUGAAGUGCCAAAUUGAAGAGCAGCUCUUGCAACGCAAGAAUUGUCACUUUGAUUCUCCGCUCCAUACUUGCAACAAUCUUCAGCCAACUUUCUCGCUACAAUAUUUGAAUACAAAAAUAUUGUGCACAAGAACUAGUCAAGAAAAAAAAAAUCAAAUAUUAUAACGAAUGCAAGAGCAAACAAACAACCUAUUUCCAUUUGUUUCAAGCUUACUGCAACAAGCCCUUCAAUGCCACGAACAAUAUUCCUCUGAAAAUGCUGCGCUACAGAGCAUAUAUUCCAAAUUAUUGUUCAGAUAAAACCAUAGAAACCAUCAUAAUUAUUCAACAUACAUUAAGCUCCGUUUGGUAAAUACUUGCAACUUCAGUCUAGAGAAUACAGUUCUAUAUAUGUAGCAGUCUAAAGGAGGAUGGUGCCUUAGCUGCCCUGGUGGAAUUGUAUAGAUUUUGAAGUUGUUGGUGACACUCAAUUUCAGCUUCAUCAACUGCCUGUACAAAUCAUAAAAAACUAAUGAAAAAAAUAAAUAAAAUCGAGAAAUUUCACUAAUUAAAAGUCUAAAUAUAAUUUUAAAAAAGAAAGAAACGCACUUGGUGCUGCUUGGCGACUUGUUCUCGGAGCUUGAUUGCCUGUUUCUUGAUAGCUUCCAUACUGUUUCUUUCAAAAAGCGGCGACGGCUCAGCUCAUGGAAGUUGGGGAAAAAAAAAAGUGUGAUCAAGAAAAUAAAAAGGCAUAUUAUUGUUGACAAAAUGUGAAAAUAAAAAAGAAAAAAGAAAAUUAUAAGUUUGAAAGGAGAAGAUGAUAGUGGAAGAGUGCGGCGUGGCUGCCAGCUACUUGGAUUGUAUUGUCGGGUAAGGUAAUUGUAGAAAAUUAUAAGUUUGAACAGAGCAUGUUAGACUUUUGUUGACCAAAUUCAAAAGGCAAAUGGCACGGCCCAGAAGCUUUGGAAUACAGUAACUUACAAGAAAGCUCCAUUUAUUCUUCUUAUACUUUACGCUUGCAUCAGCUUAAAUCACUUCUUAAUCGCUUGCUUUAACUGCGCCGCUUUGUACUGUUCUAUAUAUGUAGCAGUUAUGCGGAUGUAGUUCACGGCUGAGGGUACGUGUUUGUUUGACGUGGUAGUUACGUUACGACGUUACGAGAGUAUUAUUAGUUAUUUCACAGGGAUAAAUAAGAUUAGUCACAAUAAACCCACUAGUUUUAUAAAAUUCGAGUAAUAUAGAAUAAAAUAAAAAAUGAAUACAAAAUUGACUUUUAUUUUUUAUGGUUGACUAUAUUUUGUGUUCUCUUCUGGUACUACUACAAUUGUUCCCUGUAUAUCACUCAUACCCAUAUAUCAUUGACACAAGAAAUGAAAUCUAAUGUCAGAUGUUUAGUUAAAGAAUCACUUAUGAAAAAAUUUUACCAUUUUGAUUUGAGGAUCCCUAUUUUGAACUGCAAGCUAAUGUUCAUCAAGAACAGAGUAUGGCAGUUGAGUAGAAAAACUAUUUUUGGACAAAUUAUUUUUAUUGAUAGAAGAAUUUCUCAAGGGACUACUAAAAUUAUUAAAAAAAAAUGUCAAACACGCCCAUAUAUCAUCAACACAAUUGGUUUUGAGAAUCCAUACUUUAAACUGCCGCCUAAUAUUCAUCAAGAGCAGAGCAUGGCUUGUGAGUAGAAAAUUUUCUGAUUUUGGCCCCAAAUAAUCCAGCACUUUCUCAUGAAGAAAUGCAUACAAAGCAUACCAUGGUACCAUACAAUACAAGGAGUCUCCGUUCUCUAGUUUUUCAAACUCUAAAGGGGCCAAUACUCCCUAAUUCCCCCUCGAAAAUUCUGAUUAUGACAUUAUUCAUCCCUCGAUGCAAUCAAAGUAGUGACAAAGUUAGGAAAAAUAUGAGUCCUAAGUAAUUGCUAGGCAGGGCUCCUGUGAGCAAAAUUGUCCUAAGCAUUAUAUGCAUACAUGGUGUGGUACAUAAAGCACAAUGAAUUCCACACUAUAACACAAACCCAGAAAGAGAAGAAACAACUUAAUUGAUGUAAAGACAAAAAGAAGAUAAAAUGAUAUAGAAAAAAAAAUUCAAAGAGAUAGCAACAUACUAUAGACUGAAGCCACUUGAUCUGCUCAUUGAUUGCAGCCUUAAACUUGCAAAUAGUUACCGUAAGCUAGUGCUAUAAGAAGUGAAAAUGAUGCACACCCUGAUUCCCUUCGACUUCCAUUUACUGUCAAACAUUCUAUUAAUACAAAAAAAUUGUUCAAAUAUCUUGCCAUAAAUAUAGCCGUUUGACUGGCUUAAUAAAGUCACAAAUAACCAUUCAUAUUGAUCCACAGUGUCACACCGCCUGCUUUAUGCAUACAACAGCUGUAUGUAUACCAACUCCUAACCUUAUCAAUACAUUUGGCAAAAACUUAAGAAGAAAACUAUUUCUCCAUCUCUUUUUUGAAAUUUCACAAUAAACCAGCAUAUUGUAAACGUUAUGUUGUAACCUUAUGAUAAAUGCUCUAGACUCCAAAUGAAUUUUAUAUAUGAGGGUUUGUUGCAGCAGAUAUAUUGACUUAUCAAGUAUGAAUCAUUGUCUAGAAGAACUAUCUUUAGAUAAAAGAAUAUUAGAACCAUUCUAGAAUAUCUUUAGGUUGCUAGUUCUAACAGGAAUCUGCAUGUGGCAACAGUUGCCAGAUCCACAAUUCCCCAACUUGAAAUACAUAGUUGCACACCGUGAGAUAGUGCUGCAAUCUACUGAGAUCUAACUUAUAUGAUACUUUAAGCUACUAAUGUUUGCAUAUUUCUACAUGUUAAAUUGACACUACCAUCUAUAAUCACUCUAAAACGACAGAUGAUAAGCAGCUUUUGGCUACUUAUUACUAGCAUCCACAAUUAAUUUUUGUUCAGCAAUCAGCUUAUUUUAUAGAAAUUGAUUUAGUCAGCAACAAACACUAUAAUCCUUGAAAUUAGUUCUUGUUCUUUGUAAUUUUCUAUGAUUUUUCAUACAUCAAUUAAUCUGCAGUGCCAAGAUGAGGUUUGGUUUUUCAAACUAAAUAAUCAAGUAGCAAAAAUACAAAUUUAGAGAUUAGGGGGUGAACUAGCUAGGUGGUUUACAAAUAUUCCUAUUUGUAAGGUGAAUUAAUUGAAUCAUGAGAAAACAAUGUGACCAUAGCUCAAUAUGAGAUGAUUUCGGAGAGGCAUAUUGUUUUCAAGUGAAUUUGAUCCAUUAAGAGAUGAAGUGGAUUGAAGUGGAAAGUUUAAAUAACAAAUCCUUGUUCUUGAGUUUUACGACGUUGUUACUCCUUCAGGUGGCAGAUUAUGCAAGUGAAUUCAAAAACACAAUGCAUCAAUCACGGGGAUGCUACACCAAAAGACGGGAUCAUAGUCUAUGCAUUGAACAGUUACAGUUGCUGCUACCAAUUGACUCGGCAAAGAUCAAGAAGACUGAACGGGAAGUUAAUGCCAUCAAUGUCGUCUUCACUAUAGCUGCUGGGAAUGUAGGUGAACUUUCCUCAUUUGCGGCUGUCUAUACAUAGGCUUUUCCCCAGCUUAAGUACAAAUAAAUGAACCUGCUUUGAAGGCUUUAUUAUUGACCACAAUAAGGAUUACUAAUUGAAGAAGACUAUACGGAGUUAAUCCCACACUUUCGUUCUCUCAAUUUCUUUCAGAAGUGCCUCUGAAAAUAGCUGCCAAACCGUUAGUCAGCUUGUUAGACUCUGUUUUCUGGAAACAGAGCCCUAACUAACUGACUGUACAGAGUAAGUCAACAUAGCAUAUUUAAUCGUUUUAAUUGAAUUGUCUUCGUAGCGAUCAUCAACAAACUCAUCAUGAGAUUUUUGAAGCACCCAAGGACUAUCACUGGGUUUCUCUUCUGGUUGAUUAAUUAAUUAAUCAAAGAACGGUUGGAUACCCAAGGACAAUUAAAAUUAUUCGACUUCUGGAACUGGGAAUGAAGUGCAAUGAUGGAGCAAAAUUUACAAUGUCUCCGGUUUCUCCUACCAUCGGACUUUUGCAGUGAGAACAUAUAACAAAAAGGCCUUCAUCAAAAUUUGUAGACUCCGGGUAUGGAUUGGAUCGAUUUUUUUGUUUGAUAUUGAAGAACCUCUUUACUAUCGCGAUAUAGAUUAUGUGCAAGGAGUUGUCUACUGUUCUUUGCCUUGUGCUAUGAUCGGUGCUCUUGAGGCUGCCCUGAAACACAGGAAAAUACUUCGAUAUCCUCCGUUCGAUGAUGCAAAGAACCGGUUAAUGUAUGAUUACCUAAUUGACUCAGGAUCAGGUAACAACAACAACAAUUUAUUAAUAUCACAAACGAAGAAGAUCGCGGAGAGGGAGAUGUAUGCCUAUACUGUUUACAGGUUUGAUCCAUUGGGGAUGAAGUGGUCUCAAGUCGAAAGUGAUUUAUUAAACAACAAAUCAUUGUUCUUGGGUUAUACCUCAUGAUGUCAUCAAGUGGAAGAUUAAGAUUAUGCAAGACGAAGAUCGUUUGAUAUUGAAGAAUUUGAACAGAAAGCCCAUAGAAAGUACUUAAAAAAGCAUAUUCUUGUUGGGGUAGAAUAUUGAGAAAGGAGUUGUCUACUGUGUGUUGCGUGAUUAUGCUAUGAUCUGUGCUUUGAACAUUGCCCUGAAAACAGUGGAAAAUACUUCAUAUCCUCGACAUGAUGAUAAAAAAUUGGUUACCGAUUACGUAACUGACUCAGGUGACAACAAUCCAUUAAUAGCACAAUUUGAGGUGAUGCCGUUUAGGUAUAUGGUUAACAGGUUUGAUUCAUCAAUGAUGAAGUGGGCUUAAAUUAAAAGAUCAUAUAAUAAGUCGUUCUUCUUGGGCAUAUCGUCAUUACUACUUCAAGUGAUCAAAGAUGAAGAUGAAGAUGAAAAUUGUGCAAGUGAGUUCAAGAAUACCAUACAUCGUUACUUGGGAUACUUCUUCAAAUAUGGAUGGGGUCAUAAUUUACUCCCACGAAUUUCAACCCAAUUUUAUGAUUGGAGUGUCCCACCAUGACUCAGAAAAAUUUUGAUUCAACCUCCUCCACCAAUGGAUUUUGAAUAGUCACUUUGUGAUCAAGCAACUUAAUUAAACUCAGAGAGUCAGAGUUCGAUUUUGCUGGCACCGCAUUUUCUUUAAAAUGUGGCCAUGUAAGGAGAGCGGCACAUAAUGUCACUUCCUUAUCAAGCACUUUAAAGAGGGAUUUUAGAAGAAGAUACAACUGCAAUUGUUUUCGUAUGUAUAUAUAUAAACAACAGCACACAUUCAGUUCAUAAAAGAAAUUUUUGCUAACCAUGAUAUGUGGUAGUGCUUUUUAGGCAAUUUAGAAACAGAGUUGUUCAACUUACAGCAGGUAUUCUCCUCAAGUUCGACGUAAAUACAAAUAUUAAUUAGAAUCCAUAUUAUAAUGACACACAUAACUUGCUUCAAAAUUAUCAGAAAUUAAAAUUGCUGAUUCAUAAUGCAGAUAACUUGGAUGAAUUGAUGUUAAAGGAAAAAUCACACGCAUAACUUGGAGAGCAAUUGCGACAGCAGCCAAGUAUAUAUUUUUAUUUGAGAGUUGAGAAGAAUAUAUUUAAUGAAGCUUGAUAACAUUUGAUGGGAUAGCAAGUAAGGGUAAAUAAGAUAUUUUUAUUUGUUAUUUAUUUGAAUUAUAUCUAUUUUGUUCAAGUUAAAAUACUAAAUAUAAAUUGGAGGUAGACAUUUUAACAGAUCAUCUAAGCUCUCAAAUCUGAAAUUUUGUGUAGAUUUAAAUUCAUAAUUUUAGUUAAUUUUCAUUCAUUCAUAUAAACAAAUUUAUGAGAUUUUUCUUUUCAGCAUGUUAUAUUUUGAAACUUUCAAUGUAUUAUUCUAGCUUUAUUUAAACAAUUAAUUUAUUUAAUUUUGAAUUUGAUCAGUAGUAAAAUUAUUUUUAUAUCAAAUUUUUUUUAUUUAAAUAGUUCGUGGAUUGGACAAAAUUAAAAAAUUUUAAUCUACAAAAUGGUGGAUUAGAUAUGAAUUGGGUUAAAUCCACAUUCGAUUUGCAGUCGUAUGAAUUUGAUUUGGAUUGAAUUUCAUCAAUCCAUGGAUUAGAUUGGAUUGAAAAUUUAUUAUCCGCAAAAUCGUGGAUCGAAUAUGGACUGAUGUCCAAUCAGCAAAAUCCGAUCCCCGAACACGCCUCUAUCAAAAUUUUCAAGAAUAUGUUUUAUCUUACAAAUUUUUUUUUAAAGUCAUAAUCUAAUGGCAGCCCAAUUUUAUAAAGUCACACACAACCAUUCUUAUUAAAUUAGAAAGAUCAAACACUGCACUGGAUCUUGAACAGAUCAACACAAGUUGCACAACUUGCGAUUGAAUCCGGCCUGAAACAAUCAACUCUUUAGCAAGAACAAUUAAUCAGAGUCAAGAAACAAGUUUAAUGAAUAUAAACCUAUAAUUGAAACAAACAUAGCAAAGAAAAAAAAUACAGAUUUUACACGGUUCAGUUGUACCUAGGAUGGCACAACCUACACCACGAGAGAAGCUUUCUGGUGAGAUUUUAUUGAUGAUCAAAGAAGAAUCUUUUGACAAAGCUAAUAAUAGAGAUUUCAGAGAAUAAGCUAUAACCUCUCUCCCUCUUCAAUCUCUCUCUAUUUUGUUCCCAUUGAUGACCCCAAUCUGCUUAGUUAGCCAGCUUUAUAGCUGCAUCAGUAACAAACCAGCAAACCCAGAUUGAGCAGAUUGACGACACGUGGAUAACGGCUUUAACGAACCUGGUUAAGAACUGCUCACAUGUUCGUCACGCGUACUGCUUAAAUGAUGGCCAAAACGACUUCAAACAAAUGUCGUUUUGAGGCUUAUGAAUUACAAGUGAUAACACGAGAUUGUCUCAUGACUUUUAAAUGCAACAACGUGCCCAAAACGCUGUCGUUUUACUCUGUUGAGUUUGAUUCAUUACUAAGCUUUACGACUGGCAAUGGAGAAGAUGAUAAUUUAAUUGAUAUGGACAGUUUUUAUAUCACUUUUACAAAAUCCUAUGCAAUUGUAAUAUUGGGAAUUAUUGAUGUUUUAUAUGUGAAUCCUCAUUGGCAAAAACUAGUGGUUUUAUCUUUGUUGAAAUGUAGAUUACCUCUCGUUACUAUUUUAUUAUAAACAUAUAGUUUCGUAAGUGAAACUAUAUAUUUAUAAUAAAAUUAACAUAUAGUUUCGUUACAUUUCUGCCUCAUUAAGAUUCUCAAAUACCAGUCAGGUUUGCUUAAGAAAUAAAAUUUUUCCAUUAAAAUUGCAGUAGUAUUUCCAAGCAUAUCGCAUUUUCUAUGAUUUUUCAUAAAUUAAUUAAUCUGCGGUGCCAAUAUCAGAUUUAGUUUUUCAAACUAAAUAAUCAAGAAAGCAAACAUACAAAUAUACAGUUUAGAGGGGUAAACUAGGUAGGUGGUUUAGAUUUUAGAACUAAGCCAGCUACCUCACUAAAUUCCGAUUCGUACAGUGAACUGCAAGAAAUUGAGAAAACAAUGUAUUUAUAAUUUAAUAGAAUCAUAAGAAAACAAUGUAGUCAUUGCUCAAUAUAAGAUGAUUUCGGAGAGGCACAUUGUUUUCAAGUUAAUUUGAACCGUUUAUAAGAGAUGAAGUGGAAUGAAGUUGAAAGUUUAAAUAACAAAUCCUUGUUCUUGAGUUUUACGACGUCGUUACUCCUUCAAGUGGCAGAUUAUGCAAGUGAAUGCAGAAACACAAUGCAUCAUCCGCGGGGAUGAUACAUCAAAAGGCGGGGUUUGUUUAUGCCUGCAGAUUAGCAAUUUCACUCAUAUCGAAAAUUAAUUUUUUAUAUAUACUAAUCAACACUAAAUUGAUUAUGUGUUGUAUGUUUAUAUGCUAAUCAACACGAAAUUAUAUUGAAUUAUUAACAUUCAUAUUCCUAAUAAAAAUUAUUUUCCAUCAGUAUUCAAAAUUUUCACUUAUAGAAAAUGCGUUUUACGUGAAUACUAGUUAUUGUGUAAAUUUGAAUGAUAGCGAAAAAUAAACCUAUUUGAAAACUGUAAGGGUGUGUUGGGAUAUUUUACAACUGUCGGAAUCUGGUAGGAUAUUGCACCAUUUGCCCAAUAUUUUUAGACGUACUCCAACCGGUAUUCAAGAUAAGUAAAAUUUACAAGCGUGGCAAAAUAAAAAAAAUUAAAUUCGUAAUUUGUAAACGAAUUUUCCUGACAUGUAUAGUAGAUGAAGUUGUUGACCCUUUCUUUGGAUUAUUUCAGCUCUGGUUGUUGGUCACCGAUGAGCCGAAGUCUUAUUUUAAUUCUAUUUAAACUCAUCAUAAGAUUCGUGGAGCACCUAACUAACUUAACUGACUGUGCAGAGCAUCUCAACAUGGCAAAUUUAACCAUCAUUCAAGUGAUGGGUUUAAUAAGACUGCUUUUGUUCUACCAAGUUCCUCCGCCUCUAAGCAGAAUUACUAUUGAAGGGCCAAAUGGAAAAUGAAAACGUGUGAACAACAACAACCACCCCACAAAUUCAAUGACGAUGCUCGGAGAGGGUUAGGUUGGGCCUCUGAGAAAAAAAAAAAUUAUUUAGUUAAAAAGUUACCCUUAUUGAAACCUGUAUAAAAAUUUUAUAUUAAUUAGUUAUGUUGCCUCUUCAACUAUGAUCAAAUUUUUAUCUGAGCUCAUCAUUUAAUGAGUAAACAUGUAUUUUAAUGAUCUCAAUUAAUAUUUAGAACAAAUAUUUUAAGAAGUAAAGCUCAUUAUAUCCCCCAUUAUUAUGUAUCUCUGUAAUGUAUUGAAUUAGAAGAAAAAAAAAAUUCAACUCACUCAAAAAAAAAAAAAUGCUGGUAGCUUCGUAAUAAUUACUGUCUUGACUGCACCAGAUAAAGUUUUGUAAAAGAAUUCUGAUAUUUACCCCGGGUCAAACCCCGAAAAUAACUUAAACGGUGUCGUUUUGAUUUUUUUUUUUUUUAUACUCCAAAACGUUCUUACCAUUUCCGUUUCACUUACCAUUUAAUGCUCACAACUCAAAUAAAAAGCCCAGAAACUAGAAUCAAACUUUACAGAAACUAGAAUGCCCAGAAACGUUGUAUAGCAGGAACGUAUGUAAAGAGAGUAAACAAGAGGGAUUAAACAGAACAUACGUUUUCUUCACUUAUUAUUAGCAACAAACACCCUACACAACACACAUUUAAUGCUCACAACUCAAAUAAAAAGCCCAGAAACUAGAAUCAAACUUUACAGAAACUAGAAUCAAACAAUACACAUUUCAUUUCUUCAAGGUUAGGGAGAGACUCAGGGGAGUGAUUAAUUAACAAAAAUAAGAAUAAUAAUACCAACAUUUGUACAGGUCAAAUAAGAAUAAUAAUACUCAACCUAAUACCCAGUAUAUACAAACAAAUGCCCAGGCCAUCGUUCCUAUUUUGCCAUAACCUAAAGAGGAAAAAGCGAAGCACUACCUCAGGCUGUGAACUUUGCCGCUUCGUGAGUUUAAUUUCCCGAACAAGUUUCGGCUACCAGCGUUACCAGUGUUGACGGUGACCGUGGCUGUCAGCGUUGACGGUGACCGUUGGUGGAUCCCGAAUGCCUGGACCUUGGUCGAGGAAGGAAAGUAACGAAUUUUUUGAACAAACGAAGAAACGAAGCACCGAAGAGAUUUACGGUCAAACGGAACAAGACCAACUUGCUCUUCUAUCUAUGGCUUUCCCAGUUGAAACGAAGAAACGAAGAGGAAGAGGUUUAAUUCUUCUCAAAAUCGUCCAUCAGAAACGGCAACGUUUUGGAGUAUAAAAAAAGAAAAAAAAAUCAAAACGACGCCGUUUAAGUUAUUUUUCGAGUUUGACCCAGGACAAACAUCAUUUUCCUUUGUAAAAUAAUAAGUUCUCAUUAGUGGUUUUUAAUUUUUAAUUUUUUUUUCGGCACACCUGAUCAAGAAUUCUAUUUUGUUAACUAAUAAAUUGCAAAGCAUAAGUGUUGAACGGUACAAAAAAAUUUGAAAAAAAAACACUUAAAACGUAGGGAAAUGAGAAAUAUAGAAAGAAAGGAAGAAAGUUAAGACAUGAAACUGAUCUGCCGUGAAAUUGAUAAUCAUGUUUCUAUUUCGUUAACUAAUCAAACGGAAAACUGGAACUGUAAACAAACAUUAACACGUGUGGACUCUGCUAGCUGCCCUACAAGUCUACAAUAAUAAUUGAGUACCUUUGAUUCAUCCUUCUAUGAAUUUCUAGCUGUAUUGACCCCAACUGCUAAAGUUUUGUAAAAUUAAAAAAAAAAAAAAAAAAAAAAACUGGAAUUUCAACAAAAUUCAAAACGUGAGAAAUUUAAUUUUUGGCCAUGUGGAACAAAAUGUAAAUUACGGAAAAAGUAUAAAUCUCAAUUGCUUAGUAUGGUUAGGUUUUGUGAGCAUCACUAGAAAGUGAAAACUAUGAAUGAUAGGGGUGAUGUUUGCAACAUGAAUAAACGAUGAACUGAUUCAAUUGAUGAUCGUAAUUAUAUAAUGAGCAAAAUUUACAAAAUCAACAAAAGUUAAUAAAAAUUUAUUUUAAUAAUAAAACUUAUUAUUUAACGGCGCUCUAACCAUGGAGUACCAUAAUCAUAUUCUUCUUUUAAGAAAAUUAUAACUUAUUUCAAAUAGCACCAUAACAUAAUUCUAGAUAUUUAAAAGAAAAGCAUUAUUCACCUGAAAUGACUUGGAAGUCUAAAGAAAAAGAGGGAGUGGCUCCCCACAAUUUUCUUGUUUUCAGUAUAUUUUCUUUUUAAAAUCUUUUGACUCAUACAUAAUCUACCCUCGUUCAUUAUCUCUAUUUUGCUCUGUUCAAGUCCCUUUUUUUUCAAAUCUUAGUUUAAAUAAGAAAAUUGAAUAAAAGUACAUUUGUGUAAUUAAUUAGUAUCUGCGGGGGAUAUUUGGUGUAAUGUUUUGCUAUGUAAGACUCAGCUAUUAUUAAAUAGUUCCUUAACCUGUUUCGCAGUUUAUUUGCUAUCUUUGUGGAUCUCAUAGGCGUUGCAGAAUUUAAUAAUUUUAUUCGUCAGAAGAAUAGGAUAUUGGCUUCAAUAAAUUUAAUUUAAACCAACUUUUAUUUACUCCAUCAAUUAAUUAAUGCCAUUUGGUUUUGAAAAAUUCAAUAAUUAAAUUCUCACGUUUCAUGUGUUUGAAGUUAAAUUAUUCAUGGGUAAUUAUCACAAACCUCCCCUGAAGUUUGAUGUAUUAUCAAUUUGAUAGAUUGUAUUCGCGUAUUCUCAGCCACCUCCCCUUAAGUUAGUACACCGUUUAGUAUAAGUUUAGUGAGUGAGGGCAAGAUAGUAAUAGAACUCGUUAAUAAUAAAAAAUUCAAACAAACUUAAAAAUAUCAAAUUGGAUUCUGAAAUUGAUUUGAAUUUUGUUAAUAUUCCAAUGGGUAAAAACAAAAACAUGAUUUUAACCAACAGACAAUAUUAUAACAAAAAAAUGAGAAAGGAAAAUGGCAUCUUCUUGCUCCAUUCAGACAAGAGCUAACAAGAACAACGCCCCUUUCAUCUCUACUAUACUUUAAUAGAAAAAGGGUGCCACGAUCGGGAGACCAUGACGAUGAACUCGAAGACGCCGAUAGCAGGGACGACCGAAUCACGAACGCCAGGUGGAAGAAUGUUGACCAGUGAGUUUCCAUGUUGACCCACAGACAACCUCAGUUUGUUCGAGCCGCGAAUGAGGUAUGAAAAUGCUUAUUACUGUGCAUGUCAGUUUUAUUAGAUGGAAUUAAUCAAUUUGGUAAAAAUGAGUAAUGGGUCUCGACAAUUUUUUGAGAGUAUCUAUGUUGCUUCCAUUGUUUUCCAUCGAUUGGGUUAGUUGUAGGUUAAUGAUUGUUGUAAAUGCAUGUUCACCUGAUUUUGAUUGAAGAUGGCUUCAGCUACAUUAUGCUGCCUUGUGAAUGAUUGAAGAUGGGUAUGAAAAUUUUUUAAUUGUUUAAGCUAUUGCCACUGAUUGUUUGGAUUCAUGCUAGUUUUUAUUAAAUUACAGAUGUAAUUAAGUGUUGGAGAUUCCUUGUGCCGCAAUAUUAAUAUUUUGAGGAUACUUGAUUUUGUUUUUUUUUCUUUUUAUCACGAUAUGUACAUGUCUUGGUUGAAAAAAUGUCAUGAUUUGCUGCAUUCUCUCACACUGGAGCAGUGAGUUUAGUGGUUUUAAUUCUUUUCUUCUCUUUGACUAUGGCUCUACUUCACUGCAUUCAGAUGUCUUUAUUUGUCCAGCGUCAAAUGAUAAAGGAACAUAGUCUCCUUUUGAUUUCAGUUUGUCUUUCUGUUUUGCAGCCAAGAGGUUCUAACUACCAUCGAGAGUGAAAGGCUCUCCAAGUCAAGGCACAUAGCUCCUGCUGCUCUUGUUACUUUCCCUGAAGAUUUUGAUAAUGGGCUGGUGAUUAUUUAGUUUGGUUUCAAAUUAUGUUCUCGACAUUGUAUUUUGAAAUAUUUGGUUGGUGAGAUAAAGUUUAUUAUUAUAUCUCUAAUAUGUGAGAUGGGAUAUUUCAAGAUGGUAUUUUGGUUACAAUGUUUUAUUUGGUAUUUACAAUGUAAUCACAGCUCUUGGCGCUAAAACGGAUAUGACUAGCCAACAAUUCUUUGAUUUGUGUGAACGAAGUAUUUUUUUUCAACACAAGGGUAUUUUGGUCAUUUUGUCAAGUAACAAACAGUCAACUAAAUGGUAUACUAACGUUAGGGGAGGUGGCUGAGAAUACACAAAUACAAUCUAUCAAACUGAGAAUACGCUAAACCUCAAGGGAGGUUUCUGAUAAUUACCCAAUUAUUCAUUAACUAGAACUCUGUUCAAAAUUGACUGUCUUGUGGUUCCCAAAUGUAGUUGUAAUAUUGAAUGAAGGUAAAAACUUUCUAUGCGAGUUUAAAUCUAAAUCUGGACAAUGAAUUUUGACUUUCUCAAUGCUAUCCUAAUUACAAAAAUUAUAUUAAUUGAUUUAUUGUUACAGUUACUAGCCUUUUAAAAUGGAUGAAUUUAUUGUUUCCGUGACCAAAUUAUGCCUGCCUAACGGUGCAACUAUUAAAAAAACUAAUAUUUAAUGCAUAUGUUAAAAGAUUUAAAAUUUUAUGCAUUUAUUAAUUGUUAUAAUCUAAAAAAAAAUAAUUAAUUCAGGUCAAUCUGAGUUGGUGCAUCUGCAGGAGCCUUUUUUUUAAAUUUUUUUCCCCUUAUUGACCAUAAUGACAUCUCCUUCAACAUGACUAUUGACUAGGAGCAUGUAAAAACAUGGAAACAGAAUUUCCACAAAAAUGUCAAACGUGUGGAACUUAAUUUUUGGCCAUGGGGAACAAAUGCAAAUGAAAGAAAAAGGAAAAGACGCCUCUAAGAUUUGUUUCAAUGGUUUACAUUGACUCUUUAAUUUAAUUUAUAGUAACACAAUUUUUUUUUGUACAAAUAUAUAUUAUUCAUGUUUUGUAUUAUUUUUUAACAUCAUAUUUUUAUUUAUUAUAAAUAUUUAAAAUUAAUUUUUAGGUUGAUAUUUAAUAAAAGGGUAUAAUCGUUCUAUCCAUUUCUCAUCUCGCGAUCUCUCUCAAUUAUCCUUUAUUGAUAUCUCAAAGCGCGUUGCUGUGGAAAAUUGUAGCAAAAUGAAAAAUUGGAAAGAAAGGGAAGAAAAUUAUUGCUUGGAGAAAACAACCAAAUAAGUCAACUGGUCUUUAGUGAGAACAUAUCAUUUGUUUUGAUAUUGAAGGACCUACUUCUCUGCCGCGAUGUAGAAUAUGUGAAAGGAGUUGUCUACUGCUCUUUAGGUCAUAAUAAUGUGAUUGGUGCAUUCAACGUUGCCCCGAAACACUGGAAAGUACUUCCAUAUCCUCCGAAUGAGAACUGAUUUAUAUAUGAUUUCCUAAUUGACUCAGGAUCAGAUGACAACAACAACUUAUUAAUAGUUAUAUCAAAACGGCAGAAGACGUGUUUUGUUUACAGGUUGAUCCAUUUGGAAUGACGUGGUCUCAAGUCGAAAGUAAUUUAUUGCAUGCCUGUCGUCUAAAGCAUUACCUCACAAGGUUAUAUCAAAGGGUGUUUUACCUCAUCACGUCUUCAAGUAGAGGAUGAAGUCAGCCACUCGGCCUUUGGCCGAGUGGUGAGAGCUGCUCUCCAAUUUGGAGAGCAGCAGUUCGAACCCCCACAAUGUAUUGUGGGGGUCUUCCUUUCUUCAAUUAAAUUUGAGUGAAGGCAGUCUGUUUUUUUACCCAAGUGUGAGUAGCAGACAUCCCUUGAAAGUGUGAGUAGCAGACAUCCCUUGAAAGGAAUGAAGUUAUAGUCUGAUUUGUAAAUAUCAGUUAUAUUCUCAUGUAAUAUGAGUUGUAGUUUGAGCAAUAGUCUCAUGUAAUCAAAAAAAAAAAAAAAAAAAGUAGAGGAUGAAGUCUAUGCAAGUGAAUUCAGGAAUAUUGCAUGCCUGUCGUCUAAAGCAUUACCUCACAAGGUUUUAUGAGAGACGAAAGAUGUGUUUGCUUUGAACAAUUAAAGUUACUGCUACGGACCUCCCCAAAGGUCAAGAAGACAGAACAGGAAGCUAAUGCCAUCAAUGUCUUGUUCAUUAUAGCUGCUGGGUAGUUAGGUGUAGUUUCCUCAUUUGAAGCUGUCUAUACAUAGGCAUUUCCCCUGCUUAUGUACAAAUAAAUGAACAACCUUGAAGCUUUAUUAUUCGCAACAAAAAGGGAUUACUAAUUGGAGAAGACUAUACAGAGUUUCUCUCACACUUUCUCUCUGUCAAUUUCAUCCAGAAGGUCCCUCUGAAAGCUUCUCCCAAAACAGUUAGUCAUCUUUUAUGCUCUGUUUUCUGAAAGCAGAGUCCUAACUAAAUUAAUUGACUGUACAGUGCAUUUCAACAUAGCAUAUUUAACCGUUUUAACAGUUAUUUGGACCGUCUUCAGAGCUAACAUCAACAAACUCAUUCAUAUGCUUAAUAAUGAACGAAUAGUCUUGGAUCGAUGUUUUGCAGCAAGAGCAACUCGACACAAUCUGGAUUCAACCUCCUCCUUUCUAACAGGGGAUUUCGAUUUGAGUUACUUUGUGCUCAAGCAAAUUCACAUCAUAGUUUUGAUUCUUUAGAUAUGAAUUCAUCACAUUACAUGUAUCAGAUUAAGUGUAACAAAAUUUGUAAUUUACUGCGAAAGAAUAUGCACUAAAAAAUGAUUUCAAGACUAUUUGACUAUAAAAAGCAGCUGUCAGAGUGCACUAAAAAUUUCUGUAGGAUAUUUUGUAGCUGUUUAAUAUGUUAUGAUGGGCAUAUAAUUCUCAAAUUUUGAUGCCUCUCAGUGAAAAAUAUAUCAAAGUUUAGAUUAUGUGUUCGAGCUUUAAUAAAUGGUCGGAAAAAAAGCUGCUGUCAGAGUGCACUGAGUUAAUAAUAAUAACAACAAUAAUAAUAAACUAAAAAGCAGAAUUAAUUACUAUUGAAUGGUCGGAAAAAAAAUUGAAAACGUGUGAACUCCAAUAAUCACCCCACAAAUUCAGUGGCGAAUUUUGGCGAGGGCAAGGCCGGGCUUCUCAGAAAAAAAAUUAUUUAGUUACAAAAUUAUCUUUAUUGAAACCUAUAUAAAUUUUUUUUAUAUUAAUUAGUUAUGUUAUCUCUUCAAUUUGGUGAAUAAAUGUGUGUCUAAAUAAUUUCAAAUAACAUUUAGAACAAAUGUUUUGAGAGGUAAAGCUUAUUUUGUCUCGCAUUAUUAGGUGCAUCUAUAAUUUCUUAUUUACAAAAUUAUAUUGUACGAUAAAAAUGUAUUGAAUUAGGGGGAAAAAAGGUCAGCUCACUCAAAAACAACAAAUGGUAUUAGCUUCGCCACUGCACAAAUCUAGAAUAAUAAUGAUUCCUUAUCAUGCUGGGGGAUCCUUUACUUUCUAGCCGUAUUGACUGCACCAGGUAAAGCUUUGUAAAAUAAUAAGUUACUCAUUAGUGGUUUUUAAUCUUUUUAAUUCUUUUUACCGCACACCUGAUCGAGAAUUUUAUUUUGUUAACUAAUCAAUUGCAACGCAUAUACCGCACACAAGAUUGGAAAAAAAAAUCUUAAAAAACGUGCGGAUUCGGUAGCCACACCAGAAAUCUAUUACAAUAAUUCCUGGCCGUAUUGAAGUUUUUAAAAUAACAAGUUCCCCUUCUUGUUUUUUUUUUUUAAAUAUAUAAGCUUAUAACAAUUUUAGAAUAAUGACUCAUUUGUAGAAGAAUUUAUGAUUUCAUAUUAAUAUUAAUAUUGAAGUGGGGUGGGUCAAAUCUCAAUUGCUUGAAGAAUUUAUUUAUUAUUAUUAAUAUUAUUAAUAUUGAAGUGGGGUGGGUAACGGAUAAGCGGUUCACUCAGUUCGUGGCGAAUUAAAUAUUACCAUCCAAGGUAGAAUUGUGGAAAAUUAAAGCAAAAUGACAAGUAUGGAAAGGAAGGCUGAAAGUAAGGCAUGACGAAAGGCUUUGAGAAGGCUGAAGACUACCAAAGAAGACAACUGAAAGAGAGAAUGUGUGUUUUUUAAUAGUUAGAGAUAUAGCUAGAGUGGGUGGCUCAAAAUCCAAAAUGGUGACAAUGUUAGUUCUCGUAUUGGUAAUCUUGGGGGGGGGGGGGGGGGGGGGAACUCAGGGGAGGUCGAGUGAGGGAUGUUUGGAGCAUGAGAAAUUUGAUCUUUUGCGGCUUAAACAUUUCUUCAAUUCCCCUUAUACACUUCAAAACUGGGUAGGUGAACAAAGGGAAAGGGUUGAGUGCAGCAACUCCACAGGCCGCGUGGUACAACUACACCUUGGUCUUACUAUAUCGAUCUGGGAGAGUGGUAUCUGAAUGCUUCUAUAUUUACUUCCUUUCAACAACUUGGUAACAAAAUAGCCGGCUGCAUGCGUUGAGAAUGAAGGUCCUUCAUUUAAUUUAAUUUACUUAAUUUCUCCCUCCUAAUUAAUGUCUAUAACCAUUAGGAGGAACAAGGGAUUUUAUUAACUCAAAUAUAUCUAAUGGAGCUCAUUCUUUGGUUUUACUUGCAGGUCUAGAAGUAGGUGUCAUCUAACAGCUGCUUUAAUAAUUUCCCACCCCUUCAUCUUUGAUGGAAAGAUGAAAUAAAAACAAAAUGGUGAAAAUGGUAUUGGUACCUGAGGCUAUGUAAUCUAAUUCAAAAACUGCACCAUCAAAACGAUUACAUAAGUCUCAGAAGAAUCAAACAUCAGUUUGCAAAAUAUCAAUUGCUGGAGGUUUGAUUCUAACUUCCGCUCUUCAUUUUUAUGGGCAUGUUGUGUUGUACUUGCAUCAGAAAAUCAUAUUUUAGUUUAUUUACACUCAACGCUUGGAUUAAAGUUUUAGAGGGGGGGAUUGAAGAAGACUAGAAUGACACAAAAGAAAGAGUUGAGCGAGUGCCGCUUUUGUCGUCAUUUAAGGAGCUCUUUAUAAAUUUUAGGAUUUUUUUCCUGAGAAAAUUUAUGCCAACUCAUUCUUUGCUUCUUUUCUGAAGGGAUAGAUGCAACCGAAACUAUAUUCUUGAAUUAUCCAGGAUAAGAGACAUACGUUUAGAUUCUCGAGCCUUUAAAACAAUAUCAAAUUUUAGAUUGCCGAAAUUUUAUAUUGCCGAGUAUGAUGGUGUUCCAAUUAUAAGCUCCAGGGUGCAACUUCACUGAGGUUUAGAAUGCCUUCCUAUAGAAUUGAGAAAUCUCCAUUGGCAUAAAUAUCUUUUGAAAAUACUGCCAUCAGAUUUUGAAUUGGAGAACCUGAUUAAACUCAGCUUGCCUUCUAGUAAGGUUAAGCAAAUUUGGAAAAGAGAAAAGGUAUAAUGUAUUACUAUUACCAAAGUAUCUAUUUUUCUUUCUUUAAGUAUUUAUAAUGAAUAACUUUGAAAUUCAAUGAUGGUCAUUUAAUAUAGUUAUGUAUCUUUCAUUAUAGGAUGCUCUCAAGUUAAAAUUUAUAGACCUUCUCCCCCUGUAUCUUGAUAGGAUCCCAGAAAUCCUAAAUCUUAAGAAAAUAAAUCUUUCAAAUUGUGAAAGCAUGCUUACAUUACCCCCGUAUAUCCACAAUUUCAACCAGCUCAGUAUGUUGUGUUUCAUGGGAUGCAAAAUUCAUUUUGUUGCUCAUGAAAGAAUUGACUUGUCCGGAUGUAUUAAUUUUGCAGAUUUUCCACAGAUUAUGGGAAUAUAACAAAGCUAGACUUAAGCGAGACCCCAAUAAAAGAAGUUCCCUCAUCAAUAGAGUGCCUAGCUGAUCUGAAAACGUAGCGUUCGAGUAAGUGCACGAGGCUGAAGAGGCUUUCCAACAAGCAUUUGUAAAUUGAAAUCUCUUCUUGAGUUUUAUCUUUAUAACUACUCAAACCUUGAAUGUUUUCCAGAAAUCAUGGAGAAAAUGGAACGUUGAAAGAUAUAAAUCUAGCAAGGACGGCCAAUUACAGAGCUACAAUCGUGAUGGUCUUCUGGAUAACAUUAGCAAUUUAAAAUCUUUGAGGUACAUCUCGGCUAAUGGAUCGGCCAUUAGUCCUCUGUCGGAGAUUUGGCUGUACUUAAAUAUCUAUUGUUUUCUCGAUGCAGAGGUUUUGUAUCAUUGCCUCCAAUAUUAUUUUCAGGUUCAGGUUUAUCGAAUUUCGUACAACUAACUUUAAGAGACUCUGCUGUAGUGGAAAUUCCCCAAAACAUUGUUUGGCAAUCCUCAUUGAAAAUUUUAAAUCUAAAGGCUUGUUUGUUAACUACUUGAAGUAUGAAACUAAUGAUUUUUUUUAAUUUAUAUUUGAUUUUGAGAUAUUUGUAUCGGAAUUAAAAAAAUGAACUUUUGUGACAUUUAUCUAAAUAAAAAAAAGCUUAAUGAGAAGUAAAUAAUCCCCUUUUUCGUUUUGACUUACAAAAACAUAAUGUUAACUAACCAUGUUUAAGAUAUUUUUUAUUUAUAAAAACAAAUUAGAUGCUACUUAUAUUUAUUAUCGAAAAUUGAAAAACAAACAUGUUAUUCAUACAUUUAUAUUCAAACUUAUUCAGUCUUCAGCUAAAUACAGAUACAUUUAGAUUUCAGAGAAAAAAAUAAAUACUUCCUAAGUGGGAAUAACUUUGAGAGUUUACUUGCAAAUGUCAAGCAACUUGCAAGGCUAGAAUAUCUUGACUUGAACGGUUGCAAUAUGCUUCAGUCAUUAACAGAGCUUCCAUUGUUUCUAUAUUUUUCAGAAGUAAGGAAUUGCAAGCGCUCCAAUCUUUGCCAGAGCAUAGAUUUCAUGUUUACCAAUUGCCUGAAACUGAAUGAAAACGCAAACAACAGCAGUUUGGCAGAUUCAGAACAAAGGACUCAACAUAUGGCAAAUGCACCACUGAGACUAUUCCAUGAAAAGGUACCCCUACUCACUUUCUCUGUCCAAUCUUUGCAUCUGAUCAUCUGGGAUUCAAAUCCUCUACUCAUCUUGCUACUUGGCCUGCCAUUUUAACAUCCACUGACUGGUCGUUACCAAAAAUCAAAAACAGUAAAAUGAUACAUCUAAACCAUGCAUACAUAACCAAUAAUGUAUAUGUGUUGCAAGACUUUAGAAAGGCAAGAUGAGUAGAGUAUCGGCUUUGGUCUAAAAUUGUGGUUUUUAUAUGACAGCAGAAGCCUCAGGUACAACGUCAUGUCAGCAUUUGUUUACCUGGAAGUGAAAUUGCUGACUGGUUUAGCAAACAAGGUUUUGGAUCUUCAAGAACUAUCCAACUUCCACCACAUUGUUGGAACAGAAACUUAAUCAAAUUUGCUCUUUGUGUUGUUAUUGAACUUGAGGAAGGUUUUGAUGCUAAUGUUGAUGAAUUUUUUGUCCACUGUUUCUGCCAUUUUGAGAUAAGGGAUACUCCCUCUGAAACUAAACAUGAUCACUUUUGCGUUAUGAAAGCCGUAAACGUCCAUUGACUCGGAUCAUAUCAUAUUUGGAUUUCAUCCCUGUUGGAAUGUUGAGUGCAUUUAAGUCCAACCCUGUUACUAUAAAGUUUUUUGCCAACAGUGAAGAGGAAUGCACUCAAAGUGUUCCUCAAAUCUGAAAAAGAUGAAUUGGAACCGACUCCCAAGAGAAUUUAAAGAAAGCAAGUUGGUUUCUCAAGUUCUGAUUUCUUAUCUAAGUCCAACUCUCCAAUUACACUUUCUAUUUAUUUAUCAUUGUGCUUUAUCAUCAUCAAUAUUAAUAUUAAUAAAAUAAAAAGCAGUUGAGAGCCAAAUAAAGCCACUUGAAAAUCACUCAGUCACGCUUUUGGGACAUCAUUCUGCUCAUUACUUUUAAUCUGUAUCUCCGUUGUUUUAUUUGGUAUUUAUUACCAUUAGCAAAUAAAGGGAUUAGUUGAUUAUUGUGAGCUCACUAGAUGGAGCUCACCCUUAAAUGUCGGCUUGUACCAAGGAGGUGCCUUAGGGUUAAUAAACCAACUAAUCCCAUAAUUUAUUGAUGUAGGGUCCUAACAAAUUAUUGCAGUAGGUCAGUACACAGCUCGAAAACGUAUUUGAUCCAUACAUUGAAGAUGAUUCAAUAUUAAGCAUGUCAUAUAAUCUGGAAUAGGAUAUUGGACCAAUUUGAUGAUAAUGACUUUCUUUCAAUCUCAAUCUUUAUCUUCUUCGCAAUAUGACUAGCCAUUGCAAACUCAAACUCUGACAAUGAUUUCUCAAUCGCUUUCUAAGAUAUUGAGCAGGUAUGUAUAUGUAUGUGUGUAUGUGUGUGUGUGUGUGUGUGUGUGUGUGUGUGUGUGUUUGUGUAUAUAUAUAUAUAGAGAGAGAUCACGAGUGUGUGAUUUCCUUUUGCCAAUAAGGUAUGCAGAGACCUUGAUGUUACCCAAUAGCAAAAAAGCUUCCUAAUAAGUGAAGGUAUAGUCUAAAUACUUACACUCUCAUAUUAUUUUGUUCAUCAGCAGUUUGAUUAUUUUAUAUGCAUCUUUGAUUUUAGUUUUCUUUCCCUAUAAUUGCUAUUAUCUUUGAACUGGUCAAGAUUUGCCUAUAAGAUUUCUCAUGUUGAUUUUAGGUGCAAUGGAUUUUGAAUUUAGUGCAGGUGCAGAAGCUCGAAGGCAAAUUAUGAAAAAGGAUAAAGAUCUAUAAUUAGCGGUUAUGGGAUGUCAUAUAUCAUAUGGAUGGUAAUGGGGUCGGAUCACGAGUCCAUUAAUAAUCAUAGAUUGGCUUAUAUAUUUCAAACAAUGUACCAUGAAGUAAUUUCACAAGCACUUGUUAGUCUAUGUUGAGCUUUAUUGAAUCAGUAGUUCACAGUUCAAUACAAUGCAGGUUUACUAUUUGAAGUAAAUGCUUAUGGUGUGCAUUCUUCAUAAAACUAACUACUGAAUUUUUCGUUGAAACUUGCAGAAUGUAACAGAGAGAUGCAGAUAGCAGCCACAAAACACUAAGAUUGAAAAUCAGGACUACUAAAUUCUAUUACAAGCCCUUAGAAUAGACAACGAUCAUCCUCGAAUGUAUAUACUGAAAGUAAGAAAUAUUAAUCGUAAAGUUAUGCAUCAACAGAACUAUUAACUACUUAUCUUUAGCAGAAGAUUUAUAUUUUUAGUUGCAGCUCUCUACUUUGUUCGAAGAAUUAGGCAAAAGUGGCAUAUCUCCAAUCCAAUCAGCAUAUAUACCGCUCAUCUUCUCCAGUUCUUUCCGCUUUGAUUUGCACUCAUACCCUGCACUUGCUGCUUAGAAAUAGUCAUAGUUUGCACAUUGACAGUAGAAAAAGUACUUGAAACAGUCGUUGGCACAGCAUGAGAUUCCAUUGAGUCAUGGUCUCCAAGCUUUCGUAGUUCUGCAAAGAAAAUGACAAAACAUCAUGCUAUUGGCAUUCUACUUUUAACAAUUUUCCACAACCUGAGCUAUUUCAUAUCUCUCUAUAAAUUAUGAUCCAUGAGUGGACCACUGACGGAUGCAAGUUUAUUAUCACUUGUAACUGCUGGUUCAACCUUCAGAUAAGUUUGUGAUAAAGGCAUUUACGAGUACAAUGGCAAAAUUACAUGAACUUAUGUUAUCAAUCAUUGUUUUGCCUUCUCAUGAUAGAAUUCAAUGCAACAUAAAACAUUGAUAUAUUUGUACCUUGCCAUGCCGUGUUGUGAACCUAGAAGCAAUGCAAAGUGGAAGGAACAUAUCAAGCUAUCUACUGUAUAUAACAAAUUCUUACUAGCCCACAAUGCUGUGCCGCCACAUUGAUCAAGUAACACUACUAUUUCAUUUCCAAACUGGCAUAUAUAAUCUAAUGUUGAACAAACCAAAUUGGGAAUCAUCAUUCCUUACAUUAAGCUGACAUUCGUACCUGCUAGUCCAUGGGCAAAGUUGCAUAUAUUUUCAUACAGGCAGCUUCCCCUUAUCUCUCAGUUCCAACAGAGAUUUGGUUUCCCAUCACCAGCCUUUGAUUCAUUCGAUCAUAGAUACUCCGAGUUAGCAAGCCCCUUGUUGUGUUCCCAUUGAACAGACCCACUUCUGUUAUCCACAGAAGAUCCACCACUCAAAAUACUUAUCACUGAGCUAUUCCUAAACUGAGUAGAAACUUUCGCACAUCUCUCCGCAUUUACGUUAAGAAAUCGACACCUAUCCUCAUAUUUGCAAGUUUUCUGAUAAUAGAACGGUCUACAAAGCUGCAUUUCGUUAGGCAAUCUAGUCUCUCCAUUCCUCGCAAAGUGACAUUGAUUCCCGUAUUUGUAAUUGCCUAAUUGGGGUUUUGGCAAUAGCCUGAUCUUAAAAUUAGCACCCAUUACUUUGUUCAAAGCCACUGGCAUCCUCAGAUUAGGAACAACAUUUUCAAAUUUUUUAGCCCUGUUAGUCGAAUCACAUUCAACAGGAUAGUGAGGCAGCAUUUCACCAACAGAUUCAAUUUGACUACUCAUAUUGAUGCACAUAUAAGAAUUUGAAAUCACUUUUUCUUGGAAUAUUUAAUGACCAGACGAAAGUUCUUGAAUGGAAAUUAUUUAAUUUGAUUUGAUUUCCAACAAAUUCAAGAAACCCCAGAUAGUAACUAAACAAAAAUCAAACAAUAAUACGCAAUGGGUUUCUUUCUUUUUGCUUUUGGAGGGCCAUGGAGAUCUGGAGUGGGCUGUAAGUAAAUUAUGCCUUCAUCACUGGAAUGACAAAUUUGUAGAAGAUGAUAUAUGGGGAAGGAUUGAAGUAUUGAACAAAUUAAAUUACGUCCAUUGUGAUGAAUUAAAAAUAAAAUAACAAUUUUAACUUUAUAAUAAAAUUUGAUGUUAUCAUUACAUCUUUUAUUAAAAAAUUAAAUUAAUCAAGAAUGAUAUUAUUUUCUUUUAAUGUUAUCAAACUAAUCAACCUAUAAAAAUUAUAAAUUGUGAAGAAUAAAUACAUACACCACUUAAAAUGAUAUUUAUAUCAAAUUACUAGUUUUUAAGUUUUUCUUUUCAGAUGUUGAAAAAGAAAAAACAAACAUGUCAUUUAGAUAUUUUCAUUCAGACCUAUUCAGAUUUAAACUAAAUACAGACCUAUUCAGAUUUCAAAUAAAAAACAAACACAACCUUAGUAUAGCACAGAGCUUUUUUAGUGUAGCAUUUUAUAAGCAGAUUUUUUUUAAAAAAUUAUUAUUUAUUUGGUUGUUUUGCAUAGGAGAGCGUUUAAAGCUCCAAAAUCUUUGAUCAGUCAAUUUUUUUUUUUUUUGUUAGUAAAACUUUCAACAAAAAUUUAUUAUUCAUUUGAUCGUAUAUGAGAGUUUUUAUUAGUAAGUUAUAUAAAGUUCUUUAAUUUUUUUUUUAUUAGUGCAACUUUGUACAAGUACAAUUUUUAUUUUCUAAAAAAAAUUAAUUCAAUAAUAUUAGGAAUUUCAAUAUUUAAAUCCUAAUAUCAUCUGUCACUCAUUUAUUAAAUGACUAAUUUCAUAACUUAUAAAUUUAUUUAACUAACACCCAAUGAGUGAAUAUUACUAUGAUGAAGACUCAAAUUGAAAUUUAGAUGUUAGGUUGCGUAACGUUGCUCUUAUUUGGUUAUUUAUGAGAGCUUUCUUAUACAAACUUAUUUGUAUACAAAUUGAUAUAGUCUAAAUUCAUUAACUAGAUGAAAAUAUAAAAUAAUAAAAAUAAAUCAUAUGUACUAAGAAUUGUUUAAUUCAUCAAAUUGAAUUAUCCUACUUAUGUUUGUACCAAAUAAAUUUAUAUAAGAAUUUAUAAUUCUAUUUUUAAAUGUCCAACUAAAUUUUUAGUCCUUUAUUCUUUGUAAAAUUCAAAUUCAAAUGGCUCAUCAAAUAAAAUUAAAACUAUUGGCUAAUCAAAUAAAAUUAUUUGAAACCAUUGGGUAUGGUAGCUGGACCUCUUGGAACUAUCUAAGCCAUGAAAUUAACAGCGAAAAGAGUUUUAAAUGUCUAUUUUAUAAAUUUUUUAAUUAUUUUUUUAUUUACCAUUUUACCACCCAUAGUGAAAGUGUCUCAUCGACAGUUGAACAGUCAACAUAUCAGUCCUUAGGAAUUUACGUUUGGGGUAUUUUUGUAAUUAUAAGAAGGUAAACUAAUCGCAAAAUUCAUUUGGCUUGAACUUGCUCGCCUUCGCCCUGUGUAUGGUCGUGGCGUUAUCAAUAUCACCUUCUCCACUCGUACUGACACCAAACCUUAACCGUUCAGAUUCCCUUUCUCGAUUGUCAUACCCUAGGCCCCGUCUACGUGUCUCCGAUAAACAGUGCUCAAUUAAGGCCAUCAGAUUAUCCCGGACCCACAUUGAUCCAACGGCUCACAAUGACCGACAACCUCUAUAUCUCCAUUUCAAGCUCCCUUUUCAACUGGCUUCUGCUUCCGUCGUACUCUUUCUCGGAUUCGGAGUCCGUAUUUGCUCGGCCGGUCCCGCACAGCUCCCUCUCGCUCCAAUUGUCACCCAACAAGACCAAUUGCUUAAUCAAGGCACAGACCAAGAAGAGGAUGAGAAAUUGAAACAAGAAUUUGAGAAUUGGAAAUCGAAAACGUACCCAUUUGUGAUAAGGAAUUUAUGCGAAGUAAGGGAAAGAGAUUGAAGUUUCAGAUGAAUUUGUGUGCUAGCAUUGAUGGGAUCGUUAACAAUUUAUCUGUGCCCUUUAACAAAGUUAAGGCUAAGUCAGCUUCUUAUAUGGCUGCUGAUUUGGUUAGUGUUGGUGAUUCAUGGCUCAGCUUUGCGAUUAAAAAGAGAUUGAUUGAGCCAAUAGCUGGAGCUGAAGAUCAAGAUUGGUUCAAAUGCUUAAGUCACAAAUGGAAGGUAACAUCUUUGUCUUUGACCCGAUAAUUUUUAUUGUCUUACAUUGAAAUUUGGUAAUGUGGUUUGUAGUCAUUUUAUUUAUUUGCUUUUAUUUGCACCAACGAAGUCUCAGGUAUAUCUAUGCAGGAAUGAUACAGGAGAAAUUGAUCCUCGAGGUAAAAUAUGGGCGGCACCAUACAGGUGGGGCACAAUGGUGAUAGCCUACAAGAAAAGUAAAUUUCGAAAGCAUAAUUUGGCUCCAAUUGAGGUAAUAAUUGUCUUUAAAUUUUAUAUGAAACAAAAUCAAGACUGCCUUUCUGUUCAAUAUUUUUGAUGAUAAUAUCUUUAGAAGCAUCGCAUUGACGGGUAAUAAUGGUAUCCCUGAAAGAGUCUAUAAACUCAAUGAUAUUAUCUUCUACACAUGGUUUAUUAAACUUCUUCGUUGUAGUCAAAUGUACACUAAGAACAAUGAGAAGCUAUGCUACUGUAGCAUGUAGUGAUGGCGCUUAAUAAGUGAGUUGCUAGGAUGUGAACUAGAAAAAUUAAAUAUUGUCUCCUUGGGUAUGCUAGCUUGUAAGUCAGGGUUAAUAUUAGAAUUUAAGAUACUAUAACCAUGAGAAGCUAUUGACUGCCAAUUAAAAUAUCCAUUAAAAUGUCUAGGGAGUUAAGAAGGUGGAGGUAUCUUCCGAUUUCUAAGGCCACAUAGUAGACAUCAUCCAGGAUCCAAGGAAGGUGCGGUUAAGCUCCUGCUCGGUGCAAUUAAUAAAUUUGGUCAAUGCCACUGAAACCUGCUAACUGAUGUCACAAUGCACCAUGAGCACUUCAAAAUGGGAUAGACGGUCAGUAGCACUAAAUUUUUCUUGCCUAAGAUUGGGCAAUUGGUCUAACUGCUAACCCCUAUUGUAGGUUGAUCAUUAUUUUUUCAAUUAUGUUCAGUUUGACCCAAAAAGUUACAGAAUCUUGAUCUGAAUAUUGUCACCGAACACCGUCAAUGUUGUUUAGCAUAGCCAACUAACUAAAGUUUGGUAAAACAAACACACAUUGUGUCUCAUGUCUCACAAUUCAAAUUAUCAUCUGUAAUGAUGGAGGAUUUUUCUAAUGUAUGAAGUAUGCUUUGAUACGUGGGUUAGCUUGGAGAAGAUAUCUCAAAAUAAAGAACAUGGGGAGCGAAUGGGAAGAAAACAGUUCAGUAGUUUAUUAUUCUGUAGUCAAGUUUUGUCUCAAAAAUGGUCAAAAUUUAAAUGAAUAAGGACAGCGGAUCUUCAUUCUUUUUCCCUUUUUUAUGCCAAGAUAUCUCUCAACCUUUAUAUAAUCCCCACUGGAUAUCUACUUCUAACAAUUAAAAUAAAAAUUUCACCCACACAAAUAAAUACUGACCAAGCUCUAACAAUAAAAAGUAACAUCUUUAGUCAGGUAACCUCUUUACAGUUCCUCAUCAUCUUAGUGUGAGACUAUCAGUACGUUCCAAAAACAUAAUAAAACUGGUUUGAUCCUGUUUAUUGAUGUUUAAAUGUUGUUCAUUGUGACAUGUAGAAAUGAUGAGGCGAAGUUUCUUUGGUCAUCAAUUGGUAAGAUCUUGUUUGAAGUUGUUUUCUGAAAUGAACUGCCAAAUGGUAAUUUUUUUGGGCAUAUGAUGGCUCCUUUUUCCUCAUUUUAAACAUGUGCCUGCAUGGAACGGGAAGGAUUAGGCUGCAGAGUUGUUAUAUAUUUUGACAUGCAAUGGUUAUUACACAAUUUGUUCACACUGGAAAUUAGAAUGAGAAAUUUGUUGAUGCUGUUUUGAGAGAUCCGCAUUCUAUGCGCAUUAACAUGAUUAAUGAAAACAGAUUAUAGGACUGGAAAGAUCUGUGGCGGCCUGAGCUCGCAGGAAGAAUUUCAAUGGUUAAUUCUCCCCGAGAGGUUAUUGGUUCCGUUUUGAAGUAUAUGGGAGCAUCGUACAAUUCAAACAAUAUUGAUUUGCAAGUUGCUGGUGGGAAGAUUUCUGUUCAGCAGAAUCUGGCAUUAUUGGCAAACCAGGUACUCUUAAAGAAAUGAUAUCUGGUCAUUGCAUGUUAUUGCCUGACAACUGAUUUUGUUUGUAAAGUCUGCUUCUUCAUACAUAUGAACGCAUAUGUUAGUGUUUUCCUCUCCUUUUCAUACAUAUGAAUGCAUUUGUUAGUGUUGUCUUUUCCUUUUCAUACAUAUUAAUACAUAUGUUGGCGUUCUCUCCUGAAGAAAUGGCAAGGGAUGUGAGAUUCUGUCUCAUUAAAUUAACAAAAACCCAAAACAAUGAAAACCCAUAAUAAUGUGGUGUGGGUAAAUUGGCGCCAUUUGGUUCGUUUCCUUAAUGUGAAUACGCGAGCAAUAGAGACUAACAAAAUGAAGUGACAACAAGAAGUCAGUGUCGUCUGAUGGAUGCAUUUUUAGGCAGAAAUAGGUUUGUAAUUGACCAAAUUUGUCUGGCAUGCCAAUUUCAAAAAAAUUAAAUCAUGUGAUUAUUAGCUGUAAUGAAGGGAGACAGUAGGUGCAAUCAGGUGGAUCCAGGAAAGUUCAACAAAGUUCUGGUAUGGCGUAGUGAAAUUGGUUGUCCAACUCAAGAGUCUUUCAGGUGAACGAUGAUGGGUUUUGAUUUAUAAAUGUUAUAAAUCUACUAUGAAUAGUAUUCUAGCAGAAUCAUCUGUAAGUUCUAGUUAUUGAAAUUGUCUACUUUGUCCAGUUUGAAUUAAGGGCAAAUGUAAUAUGAAAAAUAGUUGCCGCAUCUUUUAGGUUACCUAACAUUUGAUCAAUCCUAUUAUGUGGGCUUCAAGAUGUCUAACAAUAUGUAGAAUGCACAUGCUCCUACCCAUUGUUUAUCUUAUACAAUAAUUUGUUUUAGAUGCUAAUAUCUUUGUCGAUCCCGGUAUCAAUAUUACAAUAUCUGCGUUUAUUGGGUUUUACAUAGGUUCGACUGUUUGACAGUACACACUAUCUGAAGGCAUUUGGAAUUGGAGAUGUAUGGGUUGCUGUUGGGUGGAGUAGUGAUGUUCUUCCUGCUGUCAAACGUAUGUCUAAUGUUGCAGUUGUUGUUCCCAAGUCUGGCGCUAGCUUAUGGGCCGAUCUUUGGGUAUACCCAUGCCUGCCUUUCUACUUCGAUAUUCACAUUGUUAUCUCCUUCAUAUUAGUGAUCAGUAAACACGAUAAUGUGACUAAUAAGUUCGUAUCCUCUUUAUAGGCAGGCCCUGCUGCCUCAAGACUUGAAACAAAACAAAUUGGAGGGCGAGUCAGAGGUCCAUCUCCAUUAAUCCAUCAAUGGAUAGAAUUCUGCUUGCAAACAGCGAGAGCAUUGCCUUUCAAGCAAGAGGUUAUCCCGGGCGCAUCUCCCUCUGCCCUUGAGAGUACUCUGGUUAAGUUGCCUGAAGAACUUCUGAAGGGUAAACCAAGUCUGGAUACUAACUUAAUUGUUGGAGUACCCCCGGCUGAAAUUCUGGCCAGAUGUGAGUUUUUGGAGCCAUUAUCUGAAGCUACUUUGUCAGAUUAUGAGUGGCUGGUUGCUAAUCAGCAAAAACCUGCUCCUGUCUUGAUGAAAAGGGUGCAACAUUACUUGUCAUCAUUGAUCCAAAGCUUUCUAGCAAAAGCUACAUUGAAAAGUUAAUGGCACUGCAUGCCAGUGAUUAUAAUGCUUCAGGGCAAUUGGGUCAGGGCAAUUAGGUCAGAGCAUAACUUCAUUAGGAAAAGAGGCUUCAGCUACAUUAAAUAUUACAGGAUGUACUGAGAUGGCUGAAGUUCUUGAGGUUUUAUGAGAAAUGAAAGAUGAGUCUUUGUUUGAACAAAGUUGUUGCCAAUUUUGCAGAGUUCGAGAAGAAAGAUCACGGAGCGAAUGCCACCGAUUUCUUCAUCAUUGUAGCCUCCAUAGUUGAAGUUUCCUCAUUUGAAGCUGUUUAUGCAUUAAGCUUAUUCCCUGCUCAAGUACAGGAAACUGAAGAAUUAACCAGACAUGAUAUGCUGAAAGAGGGAAGUUUUCUUCCUUGAAUGUGGCCUUGUGAUUUGUAGUGAAGUAAUAGGAUGAUCACUAGCAAGAACCCUAUCAAGGUAGAUUUUAUAAUGUCAACAUAUUAUUAAGCAUUUGUCAAUUUAGCACUUUCGCAAUGAUACAUUCAUAGCCUGAAAUUAAUUAUAUGAUCCUGAUUAAUCAAUUAAUCUUCAUGAGAUUUAACCUAGUUAAAACUAAGUACAAUCAUCGUUAACAAAUACUGAAAUUGGGUAAAUAUGAUCUCGACAUUGAAGAAUUUGAAAACACAACCCACGGAGGAAAUUACCUGUUGCAUGGGGAUGGAGAUGGUUACUGCAGGGAUAUAAAAUAUGUGCAAGGUGUUGUCCACUGCUCUUUGGGUUAUGGUGUGACUUGCGAUUUCAAGGUUGCCCUGAAACAAUGGAAAAGAUUAACAUAUCCUCCAAUGAAUGAAAACGGCUUGUCUAAUUCUAAUUACCGAAUUGACUCAGAAUCAGGUGGCAAUAAUAACAGGUCAUUAGCAUUACACAGUCCGAGUACUUUUCCAGGAUCAGAUACAACGUGGUCUAAUGUUGAUAAUAAUAGUUUAUUAAAUGACAAAUCAUUGGUCUUGGGUGUUGGUUAUAUACGUCAUUACUACUUCAAGUAGAAGAUGAAGGUUGUGCAGGUGAUUUCAGAAAUAAAAUACAUUCUGAGAGAUGCUGGUCUACCAUUGCAUGCCCCCAGAUAUAAGAAUUUUUUGAUUGGGGCAUUUGGCAAGAUUCGACAAAUUCUAGAUUCAACCUCCUCCACCAAGGGAUUCCAACUGAGUUAUCAAUUAUCGUAGCAGUUCUAUUAACUAAAAUUAGCAAAUAUAAUAUAAGAAAAAGAACAAUAAAUACACACUGAAGUUGAAUUGAAAAUGAAGUUGCAAGUUGCCGCCCAUAGCUGCUGACUAAUAAUAAAACGAGACAAAUUAAUUAAACUCAGACCUCUUUGUAUAUGUUAUCCUAACUUUACUUACCCUUGUUUGUAAUUUUCACUUAACACUUGAUGCCUAAACCAUUAAAACCAAAUGACCAUAGGGGUAUUUAAAGUAUGUAAAAAUAAACAAAAACACGUAAAAAAAUUCAAACAAUUAAUAAUUACACUCUAAAUGCACCACUCAACUCUUAAUAAUAGCCAUACUCUAAAACAAUCUACAACCUUUGAGGGGAGUAGCUAUGAGGAAAAUCCUUUUCUCAGUGGAUUGCCAUUGCCCAAUAGUUGCAAUGAAAAGAGACCACCUGCAACUGUGCCGGAAGAUUCAACUAGCUCUGAAAAAGAUGAUAAUUUAAUUGAUAUGGACAGUUUCCAUAUCACUUUUAAAUCAUCUUAUGUAAUUGUGAUGUUAGUAAGCAUUAGUGAUCUAUAUGUGAACUAUUAUUGGCGCCAUUGGUGGUUUUAUCUUGUUAAAAUAUGGAUGACUUCCGGUUACUAUUUUGUAGUACACAAUUUUAUUCAAUUAACAUAUACCUUAAAACCAUUAUGUAUGUGCUUUAUUAAGAUUCUCAAGUACCAAUCACGUUUGCUUAAGAAAUAAAAUUUUACCAUUAAAAGCGUAGUAAUAUUUCCAAGCGCUUCGCAUUUAUCUCAACAUUUUGAAGGAAUUUCGAGAAAUACACGGGUCCAAAAGUCUAGUCAUCAUCCUUAUUCUUGGUAUGAGUUGAUUUUUAGUGAUUAUCUAAUUGACUGGGGUGACAACAAUAGCACAACGUAGAAUUCAAUAAUAGAAUUCUCCUGUUUAAUUUGUUUUAAGUUAAAUUAUUAAUUACUUAAAACUCUGUUUUAAGUCUUUAAUUUUAUGUCUUGGCGUAUAUGCAGAGUUGGAAUCUUGAGUGAGUUGGACAUGACCUACAAUGAGAGUGGCAGUAAACAAACAUUAGAACGUGUGGACUCCGGUGGCUGCCCUGCAAGUCUACAACUCUACAAGAAUAAUUUCUAGCCCCGUUGACUCCACUAACUAAAGUUUUUUAAAAUUUAAAAAGGUACAUAGAAUUCAACAACAAGCAAAACGUGUGGAAUUUAGUUUUUUGCCGUGUGGAACAAAAUACAAUUUAGCAAAAAAGGACAAGAAAAAUGGUAAGAUUUCUAAAAUGAGUGGAAGUUGAUCCAUAUUUUACUGAAACGACUUGCCCCGAACAUCACGACGAUUGAUUUUUUUUAUUUAUUUUUUGAAUAACAUCAACUUUCAUAUCUUUCUAACCCCCAGAAUAUGCUCACGUUCUAGUCUAUCUUGCUAAUUUAAAAAAAUAAAAUCAAAUCAACACCAAAACAAUGAAAAGUAAAGCUUUUGAAUUUCAACUCCAGCUAGCAAACGUAUUCAGCGUUUUCAAAUUCUUCCCAUUGCAUAUCUUCUUCCUCCAUCAAUGCAAUAUUUGAACGAUUAUGAAAGAAUUUAAGAACAUAAAAAAUCUCCUAGGUUUAUACGGUGUAACAAAUUUAAAUUCUCAAUUACAAUAGAUAAUAAUUAAACUAAUAAUUUUUUAUGUACUUAUUUUAGUAAUUUCACCUAAGAAUAAUAUUGUAAUUAGAAAAAAAAAAUCUAAUGAGUAGGGUGGUCUUAUACAAAAUCAACUGCAUACAUAUAUGCAGAUGCAGAUAAUAAUUUUUAAUUCCUUUUUUUAAUAAGAAAAUUGUGUAUUGAGAUGAAUAAGAUGUUUAAUUUAAUUAAUUUCCUUACUUUCGUAUACAUUGUCUUUCUAUCUAGAGAAAGCUUGGUGUUCAGAACGACAUGAAGUUGCGAGUUGUCGCCCAUGGCUGCUGAUUAAUAAUAAAACGAGACAAAUUAAUUGAACUCAGGCCCAUAUGUAUAUGUUAUCCUAACUUUACUUGCUCUUGUUUGUUAAUAUUCAUUCUUAGAGAGGUGAAAAAAAUUACAAGUCUUGAAUAACGAGGAGUUUAAUUGCCUCUAACUUUACUUGGCCAGGCCUUCUAUAAUCUCAUUAAUAAUACAGAGAAUUAAUUAUCUUUUUAUUAUUAAACCAUCUUCAGGAAGAUUUUCCUUAAUUUGCUCCAGAAGAGUUGGAGCUGUGGUUCUGAUAAACCAAAGAAUUAGUAGCAAUUAAUAUUAAUAUUUCGCCCAUGGCUGCUGAUUAAUAAUAAAACGAGACAAAUUAAUUAAACUCAGGAGCAUUUAAACCACUUCCUUAUCAAUUGCGGCAGCCGUCUAUUAACUAAAACGCCAAUCUAAUACAAGAAGAAAGAACAUUUACAGACUUGGCAAUUGAGUUCAUUAAGAAGUAGCAUCGCAUUCGGGUGAUGAGUUUCCUUUUGUUAAUGAUUUUAGUCUAAUUUCAAUUGUACUGUGACCGCUUCUCACUCAAGGUAAGUGAAAGUUACAGAUGUGGCAAAAUAAAUAAUUAAAUUAACAAAAUGCUAACUAAUUUUCCUAAAUACCUAGGGUUGUACAAUUUCACCAACCUGGAAGAAUUGACAUUAAUGGACCGGUCUCCUCCCCAUAUAAUUAUAAUCCUUCUAGAAAGCUAGUUUUUAUUAAAUAUUUGCUUUUAAGUUAAUUUCAAUUAAAAAAUGUUUUAAGUUAUAUAUACUCUAAUGAGAUUCUGAAUUCCUUUAUUCCAAUAAUAAUGAAAACGUAUUAAAUUAGAAAUGAAAAAAUUGGUGUUGAUGAUUCAACCUAUUUGGAUAGAUUACGUGAAUAAAAUUGAAAUUUUGAUUUAAUUUUUGUUUAUUGUUAAUUCUCAUGCUAUCUUAAUUUCAAGAAUUUAGAAUGUUAAUUUGGUCAUGGAUUUCAACCCGUGAGUAUCAUAUUCUAGACUUAAUGGUACCAUUCUUUGAUUGAGGGCAAUGACUCUCACUCCUCUUGUAAAAAAAUAUUUUCAACUAUUUUGAUGACUUAAAAAUUGAUAGAUUUAUUGUUGUCAUGACCAAAUUAUUCAUUUUAAUGAAAUAUAAUUAAUGCAUCAAAGUUACCAGGUUUAUGUUCUAUCUUACCUCUGUUUCAUUUUUUUUUUUUCAGUUAUCAGCUAUGCCCCUGAGGCAUUUUGUAGAGUAUAGCUUCUGCUUACCUCUGUUUCAUUUUUUUUAAUAAAAAAACAAGGGAAGGUUUUUCCGAGUCAUCCAUUAUUUGAUUUCCGUCAAUCAAGAAAACGACCAAAUUAAUUUCUCUCCAAAAUUUCCAAAAGCUAGAAAAUUUUGUUAUUUGAAAAUAACAUCAUUAAUUAUAGAGUGGAUCAAACCGCGUUAUUGUCUUUCAUAAAAUUGAUGUCUUUUUAAGAGUCAAUACUUUUGAUGUACGCAAACCAGUCGACAUCAACUUAAACUUCCAUAUUUUUAUUAUUAUGUUAUUUAUUUUAAUCCCCGAUUAUUUGAUUAGCCACUAUAUAUAUAUCAAGAAAGCGACAAAAUUUAUUUCUCAUGACUUCCAAAAACUAGAAAACAACAUCAUUUAUUAUUUUUUUGCAACCCUAAUUGACAUAAACUUUAACUUUAUUAUGUUAUUAUUUCAAUCCCCCAUUAUGACCUUUCUAAUCCUCCAUUAUGCAUCUUUUAUAGUGCAAAUUUAAUUGCACAUCUAAAUAAAUUGAUUAUUGUUACUCCACCACCAAUAUUUCAAGGAAAAUUCUAUGAUGCCGUGAUUAAAAUUACGGUAUUAAUGCCGUAGUUAUUAUGUACCGUUAGAUUAGAUCAACGGCACAUAAUAAUUAUAAUUAUAUAAAUUUUAUUUUUUCAACAGGUUACAACCCGGUUAACAUUUUUUUAUAAGUAAAAGUUAACCGAUUAAAAUUAAAAAUAAUUAUUAUAUUUUUUUAGAAAAUUAUUAUAACUGAUUUAUUUUAAAAUCGCUCAUUCACGUUAAUUAGGGAUUAUGAUAGGACCGAAGUAAAACUUCAGCCGAUUCAUAUUGAGAGGAAAAGAGCAACUGAGUCUUUCUCCACUACCAGUCUUUCUCCACUACCAACUCCACGUCAUCGCCGUUCCGCCGUUUUGUUUCAUCAUGUGUUGGGAAAGGGCAGAGGUUGUUUCCCAGUGGCCAACUCGAAGAAGCUAAAGUUCGUUAAAUUCCAAAACACAUAAUCCUUGCAAACUAGAACGGGCAAAGGCUAUCUUUGAAUUGUGCUUUUUUUUCCUGUUUUUCGAGCCAGACUGCCCACCAAGUUAGCCAAUUCUUGGUACUAAUUUUGUCUUUUAGUAUUGAUUUUUGGGGAAUUCCUUUUUUCACCUUGAUUUUCUUUUGAAUUGUUUUAUAUCUGCUUGAUUUUCUUUCUUUCACUCUUUUGUAUUCUUUGGUUUUCUUCAUCAAAAUUUACUAUUUUCACAUGUUAUCUUGAUUAUUUCCUGCUAAUUAAUUUUGUAUUGUAAAUAAUCUAUUUGUUGGACUUCCAGAGUGAGCAAGUUAAUUUGAUUUAAUUAGGUGCCUAUUAUAAUAGCUUUUCUGGUUUGUUGUAGGCAAUUCUAACUGUAUUCUAAAUAAACUUCCAUAUGAUUAGAUCUUGAUAAAUGCAAAGGAUAACAAUGUUAUAAGCCAUUGGCCUAAGAAAAUGUGUAAAUCCUCUAUUUGAGGUACAAAUUUUCUCUCAUAUGUUUUUUUUUUUAUUUUGUAUUUUUUCACAAAGAACUGGUUGUUAAGAUCCUAUUUCAUUAGUUGAAACUGAUUAAAAGGAGAUUACCCUUCGGCAGUUGGUGGGAAAGAUUUAAGUUCAUCUUUCUGGAUCUUCUACUUUAGACUUAUCAUUCAAGAAAGUGUCAAAACUCGAAUGGCUGUAAAACUUUGAACAGAUUAUUAAUUAAUUUAGGUGCAAGAUCUUUUAUAACACUUUAAUAAGUUAUUACCAUUGCAUUCUUUUUUUCUUUUCUUUGAGAAGAAACCAUUUAACUUUAGACUAACUUCCAAAUUUACCUUUGUAAUUUAGCUAAAUAGGUAAAUUUAUUCAAAAGUUGUCCUCCUCGCAAGCUUAAGGUAUUUCAACUUUGCCUACAACUACAAGUUAAAGAGAAAUUAUCGUGAAAACCAUGCCACGGCCGCAGUAUUUAAAAUGUGCACAAGGAGCUUAGAGAACUGGGCUUUGUUUGAUUACAUGAAAGGAAAUGGACAAAAUUUAUGUUACAAAAGAAGCUUGGAGCUGAUAAAUGAUGCAGUAUGAGUGAACUUUUUGUCGCUCUUUGAGGAAUUUUUCUACAAAUUUUGAUGUAGCUAUUAUUUUGGUGAAUGAUUUAUUCUUUUCUUUUUUCUUCAAUAUUAUGAUUUUGUUUCCAUAUUUUAAUAGAAAUUAUUAAAAUUCUAAGGAAAUUGCACUAUUUAUCUCAAGAAAGUGGCUUAAUUCUACAUAUAUGAGUAAUGUUUCCAUAAUUACAAGCAUAAUAGUGGCUUAACUCCAUAAUUCUACAUAUAUGACAUCAAACCCAACUCAUGCUCACCCUUAUAUCAUUCUAUCUAAAUCAUAAAAUGACAAUAAUCCAACUCUUUAACAAUUUUCACAUUGGAUUUAAGUUGAGGCAAUUGACCUAAACUAAAUAACCUAAAUUCCAAAUAAAUGUGAAAUAACACAAAAAAUUUCUAAACCACACGUAUGACUCGUAAAUUGAAGGUAAAACAUGUAAAUUAGCGUUAGAGUGGUAAAUUGGUCUACAAAAUUAAAAAAAAUAAAAAAUAGAAAAAAACUAGUAAAUUGAUAGAAAAUGUAGUAAAUAAAUGUUGGAGUUGUAAAUUAUAAGAAGAAAUUGUAAACAAAACAAAAACUUAGAAAAGUGACAUAGAACUUGUAAAUUGACAUUAAGUGUGAAAUGAAAAACAAAACUUUGUAAACCACAUAUAAAACUAGUAACUUGAUGGGAAAAUGGGAAAAUUAAUGUUGGAGUUGUAAAUUGUAAGAAGAACUUGUAAACAAAACAAAAACUUAGAAAAAUGACGUAGAACUUGUAAAUUGACAUUAAGUGUGAAAUGAAACAAAAUAUUUGUAAACCACACAUAAAACUAGUAAAUUAAUGGAAAAAUGGGUAAAUUAAUGUUGGACUUGUAAUUGGCAAGAAUAACUUGUAAACAAAAUAAAAACUUAGAAAAAUGACAUACAACUAGUAAAUUGACAUUACGUGUAAAAUGAAAUAAAAAACUGUGUAAAUCACACAUAAAACUAGUAAAUUGAUGGAAAAAAUGGUAAAUUAAUGUUGGAGUUGUAAAUUGCAAGAAGAACUUGUAAACAAAACAAAAACUUAGAAAAAUGACGUAAAACUUGUAAAUUGACAUUAAGUGUGAAAUGAAACAAAAAAUUUGUAAACCACACAUAAAACUAGUAAAUUAAUGAAAAAAAUGGUAAAUUAAUAUUGGAGUUGUAAUUUGCACGAAGAAGUUGUAAACAAAACAAAAACUUAGAAAAAUGACAUAGAACUUAUAAAUUGACAUUAAGUGUGAAAUGAAAUAAAAAAUUUGUAAACCACACAUAAAACUAGUAAAUUAAUGGAAAAAUAGGUAAAUUAAUGUUGGAGUUGUAAUUGGCAAGAAGAACUUGUAAACAAAACAAAAACUUAGAAAAAUGACAUACAACUAGUAAAUUGACAUUACGUGUGAAAUGAAACAAAAAAAAUGUGUAAAUCACACAUAAAACUAGUAAAUUGAUGGAAAAAGGGUAAAUUAAUGUUUGAGUUGUAAAUUGCAAGAAGAACUUGUAAACAAAAUAAAAACUUAGAAAAAUGACAUACAACUAGUAAAUUGACAUUACGUGUGAAAUGAAACAAAAAAAAUGUGUAAAUCACACAUAAAACUAGUAAAUUGAUGGAAAAAGGGUAAAUUAAUGUUGGAGUUGUAAAUUGCAAGAAGAACUUGUAAACAAAAUAAAAACUUAGAAAAAUGACGUAGAACUUGUAAAUUGACAUUAAGUGUGAAAUGAAACAAUAAAGUUGUAAACCACACAUAAAACUAGUAAAUUAAUGAAAAAAAUGGUAAAUUAAUGUUGGAGUUGUAAAUUGCAAUAAGAACUUGUAAACAAAACAAAAACUUAGAAAAAUGACGUAGAACUUGUAAAUUGACAUUAAGUGUGAAAUGAAACAAAAAAUUUGUAAACCACACAUAAAACUAGUAAAUUAAUGAAAAAAAUGGUAAAUUAAUAUUGGAGUUGUAAUUUGCACGAAGAAGUUGUAAACAAAACAAAAACUUAGAAAAAUGACAUACAACUUGUAAAUUGACAUUAAAUGUGAAAUGAAACAAAAAAUUUGUAAACCACACAUAAAACUAGUAAAUUAAUGGAAAAAUAGGUAAAUUAAUGUUGGAGUUGUAAUUGGCAAGAAGAACUUGUAAACAAAACAAAAACUUAGAAAAAUGACACACAACUAGUAAAUUGACAUUACGUGUGAAAUGAAACAAAAAAAAUGUGUAAAUCACACAUAAAACUAGUAAAUUGAUGGAAAAAGGGUAAAUUAAUGUUUGAGUUGUAAAUUGCAAGAAGAACUUGUAAACAAAAUAAAAACUUAGAAAAAUGACGUAGAACUUGUAAAUUGACAUUAAGUGUGAAAUGAAACAAAAAAUUUGUAAACCACACAUAAAACUAGUAAAUUAAUGAAAAAAAUGGUAAAUUAAUAUUGGAGUUGUAAUUUGCACGAAGAAGUUGUAAACAAAACAAAAACUUAGAAAAAUGACAUAGAACUUGUAAAUUGACAUUAAGUGUGAAAUGAAACAAAAAAUUUGUAAACCACACAUAAAACUAGUAAAUUAAUGAAAAAAAUGGUAAAUUAAUAUUGGAGUUGUAAUUUGCACGAAGAACUUGUAAACAAAACAAAAACUUAGAAAAAUGACGUUGAACUUGUAAAUUGACAUUAAGUGUGAAAUGAAACAAAAAAUUUGUAAACCACACAUAAAACUAGUAAAUUAAUGAAAAAAAUGGUAAAUUAAUAUUGGAGUUGUAAUUUGCACGAAGAAGUUGUAAACAAAACAAAAACUUAGAAAAAUGACAUAGAACUUGUAAAUUGACAUUAAGUGUGAAAUGAAACUAAAAAUUUGUAAACCACACAUAAAACUAGUAAAUUAAUGGAAAAAUAGGUAAAUUAAUGUUGGAGUUGUAAUUGGCAAGAAGAACUUGUAAACAAAACAAAAACUUAGAAAAAUGACAUACAACUAGUAAAUUGACAUUACGUGUGAAAUGAAACAAAAAAAAUGUGUAAAUCACACAUAAAACUAGUAAAUUGAUGGGAAAAGGGUAAAUUAAUGUUGGAGUUGUAAAUUGCAAGAAGAACUUGUAAACAAAAUAAAAACUUAGAAAAAUGACGUAGAACUUGUAAAUUGACAUUAAGUGUGAAAUGACACAAAAUAUUUUUAAACCACACAUAAAACUAGUAAAUUAAUGUUGGAGUUGUAAUUAGCACGAAGAAGUUGUAAACAAAACAAAAACUUAGAAAAAUGACAUAGAACUUGUAAAUUGACAUUAAGUGUGAAAUGAAACAAUAAAGUUGUAAACCACACAUAAAACUAGUAAAUUAAUGAAAAAAAUGGUAAAUUAAUGUUGGAGUUGUAAAUUGCAAGAACUUGUAAACAAAAUAAAAACUUAGAAAAAUGACGUAGAACCUGUAAAUUGACAUUAAGUGUGAAAUGAAACAAAAAAUUUGUAAACCACACAUAAAACUAGUAAAUUAAUGAAAAAAAUGGUAAAUUAAUAUUGGAGUUGUAAUUUGCACGAAGAAGUUUUAAACAAAACAAAAACUUAGAAAAAUGACAUACAACUAGUAAAUUGACAUUAAUUGUGAAAUGAAACAAAAAAUGUGUAAAUCGCACAUAAUACUAGUAAAUUGAUGGAAAAAUAGGUAAAUUAAUGAUGAAGUUGUAAUUGGCCAAAAGAACUUGUAAACAAAACAAAAAUUUUAAAAAAUGACAUAGAACUUGUAAAUUGACAUUAAGUGUGAAAUGAAACAAACAAUGCGUAAAUCACACAUAAAACUAGUAAAUUGAUGGAAAAAUGAAUAAAUUAAUGUUGGAGUUGUAAAUUGUAAGAAGAACUUGUAAACAAAACCAAAACUUAGAAAAAUGACAUAGAACUUGUAAAUUGACAUUAAGUGUGAAAUAAAACAAAAAAUUUGUAAACCACACAUACAACUAGUAAAUUAAUGGAAAAAUAGGUAAAUUAAUGUUAGAGUUUUAAAUUGUAAGAAGAACUUGUAAAUAAAACAAAAACUUGUAAAUGUUACAUAAAACUUGUAAAUCAACAUUAACUUGUAAAAGUUUCAUAAAACUUGUAAAUCACACAUAAAAUUAGUAAAUGUAACCUGGAACUUGAACAAAAAAGAGUAAUUACCUGCUAUUUAGGUAACAGGUUACCUAUUUAUUUAGAAUUAAUGGUAGAAAUCUUUUAUUCAAAUCUAACGGUCCACGUCCAUUACGGCAUCAAUGCCGUAAAUUUAGUUACGGCAUUAUAGAAUGACCCAUAUUUCAAAUAGUCACUAGACCAUUUCUGCCUUUAAUUUUCCCUUAAGUUUAACUAUUGACUGUUUUUAGCAUCUUAAAAUAUACAUUUAUUCCUUGAUUAUGUGAUAAAAUUAUGAAAAAAAUCCAUUUUAGCUUAAAUUAAUUGGAAUAACCAUAAACAUAACUUAAAUUAAUAGAACAAAAUUAUCAAGUGUAUGUUCUAUCUUACUUUUUGAAGAAUUUAACAUAUAUAAUGCUAUACUAUUAAUAAAUUCAUCAUUUAAUAUAUAUGUUCAAAUAUUUUAUAUAUUUAUUAAUUGUUAUAUAGUCAAAGGAUGAAUGAUUUUUCAGGUCUACAUGAGUUGGUGCAUCUGCAAGACUCAAUUUUGACAACAAUGAUCUAAGGGGUAAUUUACCUUGGUGUUUGACAAAUAUAACCUCUCUUCAAGAUUUACUUCCAAUCUACUUACUGUAAAUAUCUCCUCAUCUCCUCUCAUUUAUAUGAUAACCCUUGAAGAUCUCACAUUUUCAAACAAUCAUAUUAGGGUUUUUAUUAUUAACAUCAUUGUGUCAAUAAUAUAUGUUGCAGUAAGAUUUUUUCAGACCAAUUCCCUUCUUCAAAUAAUAAUGGAAAAGUAUUAAUUUAAAAAUAAAAUGAAUAUGCAUUGAUUAUAUCCUAAUUUUCAUCGAUUAUAGCGAGAGUUUCUCCAAAUCAACUCCCUUAUUCAAAAAAUACAGAAAAAAUAGUAAUUUAAUAGUAAAAUUAACAAGUGUUGAUUAUAUAUCCUAAGUUUCAUCGAUUAUGUGAUCAAAGUGGCAUUGUUGAUUUAUUUCUUGUUCAAUGUUAAUUUUUAGGUUAUCUAAAUUUCAAGGAUUUAAAAUCUUUGUUCAUGGAUUACACGCUUAUUAAUUUUUCUGCCAUUGACUGUCAUAUUCUAGACUUAAUCGUACCUUCCUUGAUCAAGGAUAAUUACUCUCUGUUCUCCUCUUAUAAAUUCCUCUUCCAUUAACAUCACUAGAAGUAUGUUGAUCUCUCAGACGUUAACUUCAGUGGAGAGUUUCCAAAUUGAUUGUUACAAAACAACACAAAAACUAGACACACUUGAUCUGUCUAAUAAUUCUCUUUCGGUAAAAUUAAUUAAUUUUAGGGGAAUAUUUGACCAACCUAUAUAAUUUUAGAUUGAUCAUUAAUUAAUUAGACGAAAAAAGUACUUGUGCUUUUGUGGCGACAAUUGAACCAGAGAAGUGAAGCUGUAAAGAUUUGGCAGUAGUAAUUAUAAUUUUUUCAAAAAACUUUUUUACAACACAGGCACCUGGCCAAAAAUUUUAUUUUUCUAACUAACAAUAAUUGAGUAGCUGACCGUAUUGACUCCACCUACUUGCUAAAGUAAAAAAAUAGAAAUAGAAUUUCCACAAAAUGUCAAACAUGUAAAAUCUAAUAUUUGGCCGUGUGGAACAAAAUACAAAUGAAAAAAAAUAGAAAAAAAGGCCUAAAGACUUUUAAAAUGUGUGGAAGUCUUUCGGCCCUUUUAUAAUGGUGUGUUUUUCAAAGGAACAAAUAAUAAUAAUGACACUUCUACGGUUUGUUUUGAUAAUCACACAUAUACUCUUUAAUUUGAUAAAUGGUUACACAAAUUUUGUUUACAAAAAUAUAUUAUUCAUGUUCUGUAUUAUUUUUUAACAUCAUAUUUUUAUUUAUUAUAAUUGUUUAAAGUUAAUUGUUAGGUUGAUAUAUAACAAAAACGUAUAAUCGUUCUCUUACUAAACAAACAUACUCGUAGUUUCUGUUCAUUUGUCAUCUCAAUCUCUCUCAUUUAUCCUUUAUUGAUAGCUCAAAACGCGUCACUGUGGAAAAUUAUAGCAAAAUGACAAAUAUGGAAAAAAUGGGAAGAAAAUUAAUGCAUGAAAGAGUUGUAGAAGACAACCAAAUAAGUCAACUAUACGCUAGCUGGGUGUAUAAAUUGUUAGAUGUGUUAUAAACAAAUAGCAUAGAGCCUUGGUUGGUUACAGAGAUAGAAAAAGUGUGUGUGUUUUUUAGAACUUAAAGAUACAGUUAGAAUGGGUGGUUCAAAAUCAAAAAUGGUGAUAAUGUUUGUUCUGUUAUUAAUAAUAUUUGAAGGUGGGUGGAGUGAGGGAUGUUUGGAUCAUGAGAGAUUUGCUCUAUUGCGACUCAAACAUUUCUUCAUUAAUCCUUAUAAUCUUCUUUACAACUGGGUAGAUGAUGAUGGAGCUACUGAUUGUUGUCAGUGGGAAAGGGUUGAGUGCAGCAACACCACAGGGCGAGUGAUAGCACUAGACCUUUUUGACGCGCAUGGGGGAGAGUACUGGUAUCUGAAUGCUUCUUUAUUUACUCCCUUUCAACAACUUGAGUCACUUGAUUUAAGUUGGAACAAUAUAGCCGGUUGUGUUGAGAAUGAAGGUGCUUCGUCUAAUUCAAUUAAAUUACAUUUCGCUCUCCAAAUUUAAGUCGAAUAUCAAGACUGAGCAGCUAUAUGCAUAUUCAUUCAAUUGACAAUUUUUACAUAUUUUGUAAAAUGUUUAAUUUUGAAAUUACACCAAACAUCAUAUGUGAUCUUUGUUUUGAUUUUACUUGCAGGUCUAGAAAGAUUGAGCAACUUGAAGAGGCUUGAUUUAAGUCAUAACUUGUUCAACAAUAGUAUCUUAUCAUCUGUGGCUCAUCUUUCAUCACUAACAUCAUUAGAUUUAUCUGAAAAUAGAUUGGAAGGAAGUAUUAAUGUUAAAGGUACGUAAUUAAAACGUCAUCGCUUUUCCCAACUCUUUCAUUAACAUGUUAAAAUAAGAUUCAAGGCUUUGAAUUCAAUUUUUUUUAUGAGUAAAUAUUAGAAAAAUAGUUUUAAGCAAUUCAUAAAUACAAUUUUCAAUGUUUCUCAUAAUUACUCUAACUGUGAAGCAAAUACCCCAUGACUAAUUUAUCAUUUUGUCCAGUUAAAAAUGAUAAAAUUUAUCAUUUGUUUAUAUUGAUUUAUUAACUCUAUUUUAAGUCUUAAGUCUUGGCGUCUUGGCAUGUUUGCAGAAUUUGAUUCCUCGAGCAACUUAGAGGAGUUGGACAUGAGCUACAAUGAAAUAGACAAUUUCGAGGUUCCUCAAGGUAAACAAUUAAAAUAUUAUUUAAUUACAUUAAUUUAAUUCGUUUGAUUAGGGAAGACCCAAAAUGUACAAAAACAUAAUUAAAAAAAUAAAGAAACAGAGAAUUCAUAUUAUUUCAAAAAACAAAAGGUAAUACUAUUAUUUCAAAAAAAGAAUGUAAUAAAGAUUUGAUUCCGGUUCUUUAAUCUUUAUAGCAAUUGAAAAACAAUGUUGCUCUUUUCCCAAAGCAUAAAAUACGAAUUGACUCCCAAUUAAAUUAAUCAUUUAUUUCGUUUAGGUCUAAAUUUAGAAAAAUGAUUUUUGAUUCUCUUCAAUCCUAUCCUUAUUAUUAUUGUUAAAUAGGUUACAGAGGUUUGAGGAAGUUGAAAAGCCUCUAUCUAUUGGAAGUUAAAAUUAGAGAUGGAAGCAAGUUGUUACAGUCAAUGGGAUCAUUCCCAUCCCUCAACACUCUUGACCUUUCGUGGAAUAAUUUUACCGAUAUAGCGACAACUACUACUCAAGGUAAGUAAAAGGUACAGAUGUGGCCAAAUUUAUAAACAAACUGUUAAUUAAUUAAUUUUUCCGUAUUAUUAAUUAAGCUAAAUUUGUUGCUUCUUCCUUCUAAAUCUAAACAGAGUUGCACAAUUUCACCAACUUGGAAUAUUUGACAUUGGACGAUUCCUCUCUCCAUAUAAGCCUUCUGCAAAGCAUUGCAUCAAUAUUCCCUUCGUUAAAAAAUUUGUCGAUGAUUGGUUGUGAAGUCAAUGGCGUCCUACGUGGUCAAGGUAAAAGAAAAGUGUUGAUUGUGAACUCGCUCAAUGGUGUCCUACGUGUUCAACAUUUUUAUUUAUUUAUUUUAUUGUUUAAUGUUUCUGCUAGGCUUUCCUCAUUCCAAGAGUUUGGAACAUUUGGAGAUGGAUGACGCGCGCAUUGCACUCAACACCAGCUUUCUUCAAAUCAUCGGAGAAUCAAUGUCUUCUCUUAAGUACUUAUCACUGUCAUAUUAUACUCUUAGCACUAACAGCAGCAGGAUUCUUGUUCGAGGUUAAUCAGAUGCUCCCACCCUCCCUUCUUAAUCUAUAAUAUUAAUUUUCAAUUAAAUAUUUAAUUACACAAACCAAUCACUUAUUAUAAAAGAACAAUACGCAUUCAUUAAUUUUUAUAUUGUAUUAAUAAUUGAUGAAUUUAAUAAAUUUUCAGGCCUCUGUUCGUUGAUGCAUCUGCAAGAGUUGUACAUUUAUAAUAAUGAUCUGAGAGGCAGCUUGCCUUGGUGCAUGGCAAAUAUGACAUCCCUCAGAAUAUUAGAUGUUUCUUCUAAUCAACUUACUGGAAGCAUCUCCUCAUCUCCCCUCGUUCAUUUGACAUCCAUUGAAGAGCUGUAUCUUUCAAACAAUCAUUUUCGGAUCCCAAUUUCACUUGAACCACUUUUCAAUCACUCAAGACUCAAGGUUUUUUGGGUUAAGAACAAUGAAAUAAAUGCAGAAAUAACUCAGUCACCUUCUUUUACCGCCCCAAACUUCCAAUUAUCACGUCUCUCAUUGUCUUCCGGUUAUGGAGACGGUGUCAUAUUCCCCAAAUUCCUUUACCAUCAACUUGGUUGUUGGAAAACAACACAAAAUUGAGACAACUUUCUCUCGUCAAUGAUUCUCUUGCAGGACCUUUUCGGUUGCCAAUUCAUUCACACAAGCGGUUAAGACUGUUGGAUAUAUCCAACAACAACAUCCGAGGCCACAUUCCAGUAAAAAUUGGAGAUGUUUUACCAAGUUUAUACGUUUUCAACAAUUCCAUGAAUGCUUUAGACGGUAGCAUUCCCUCUUCAUUUGGUAAUAUGAAAUUCCUCCAAAUUCUGGACUUAUCCAACAAUCACUUGACAGGUGAAAUCCCCGAGCACUUGGCCGUGGGUUGCGUCAACUUGCAGUCUCUUGCAUUAUCAAAUAACAACCUACAAGGUCAUUUGUUCUCUAGAAAUUUUAACUUGACAAACUUGAAAUGGUUACAAUUGGAGGGCAAUCGCUUCGUAGGUGAGAUCCCACAAAGUUUGUCUAAAUGCUCCUCACUAGAAGGAUUGUAUCUUAACAAUAAUAGUCUUUCGGGUAAGAUUCCACGAUGGUUGGGUAAUCUCACAUGGUUACAAUAUAUUAUAAUGCCCAAUAAUCAUCUUGAAGGCCCUAUUCCAGUGGAGUUUUGUCAGCUUGAUUCGCUUCAGAUUUUGGACAUUUCAGACAACAACAUAUCUGGAAGUCUACCAUCUUGUUUCCAUCCUCUCAAUAUCAAACAAGUUCAUCUUUCAAAAAAUAUGUUACAUGGACAGCUAAAAAGAGGUACAUUCUUUAAUUGCUCUUCCCUUGUGACAUUAGAUCUUAGUUAUAAUCGCUUGAAUGGCAGCAUUCCGGAUUGGAUUGAUGGGCUUUCUCGGUUAAGCCACCUUAUCUUAGGUCACAAUAAUCUUGAAGGUGAAGUGCCAGUUCAAUUGUGCGAAUUGAACCAACUACAAUUGUUAGAUCUUUCUAAUAAUAAUCUUCAUGGUCCUAUUCCUCCUUGCUUUGAUAACACCACACUUCAUGAAAGUUACAGCAAUAGUUCUAGUCCUGAUGAGCAAUUUGAAAUAUUUUUUUCCAACGAAAGCUCUCAGGGAAAUGUAGAAAAGCAAAUCCAUGAAAUUUUUGAGUUCACAACAAAGAACAUUGCGUACAUUUACCAAGGAAAAGUGCUUAGCCUCCUAUCAGGACUUGAUCUUUCUUGCAACAAGCUAAUCGGUCCUAUUCCUCCUCAAAUUGGAAAUUUGACAAGGAUUCAAACAUUGAAUCUAUCACACAACGACUUGACAGGAUUGAUCCCAUCAACAUUUUCAAACUUGAAGCAUGUCGAAAGUUUGGAUCUUUCCAACAACAAAUUGAAUGGGAAAAUCCCUCAUCAACUAGUGGAGUUAAAGACAUUGGAGGUUUUCAGUGUGGCAUACAAUAACUUAUCAGGCGAAAUUCCAGAAUGGAAAGCACAAUUUGCAACCUUCAACGAGAGUAGCUAUGAGGGAAAUACUUUUCUUUGUGGAUUGCCAUUGCCCAUUUGCAGAUCACCAGCAACUAUGUCGGAGGCUUCAAUUGGCAAUGAACGAGAUGAUAAUUUAAUUGACAUGAACAGUUUCUUUAUCACAUUUACAACAUCAUACGUAAUUGUGAUAUUCGGAAUUGUUAUUGUUUUAUAUGUAAAUCCUUAUUGGCGACGUAGAUGGUUUUACUUUGUUGAAAUGUGGAUAACUUCAUGUUACUAUUUUGUUGUAGACAAUCUUAUUCCAACAAGAUUUUGUCAUUGAAAUUAAUUAGUAGCUUAAUUACGAUUCUUUAAGUACUAAUCAAGUUUGCUUAGGAAAUAUUUUUUUAUUAAAAUUGUAGUAGUAUUUAGCAUUAUAUAGCUUCCAACUUCCAAGCACUUCACAUUUUUCUCUACACUUAAAAAACUGAGUGAUCAUGUUUUGCAGAUCUGGAUUUGGAGCAGGAUGGAUCCAAACCCAUAUCUGUCCACCAUAACUUAUAGCUUCCCUAUACUGUGCAGCAUACUUAAAUAAGAGAACCAUCUCCAAUGUUAAAAGCAUUCACUCUAUAACAUUCAUUUAGAAACUAUAUUCAGAAUAAUUUUAUAAUUAAACACAAGAAAUGAAACACACAGAUACACUUGAUCGCCUAUUUUACUCUAAAAAAGAACGAUUAUUGUGCUAUCAUCAUCUUCUUCACUAGCAACAUUAACACCAAAUCGAUGGACCCAUACAUUUCAUCAAGAAAGGUAUAUAUCCAAUAAAGUUGAAGCCUAACAAAAAAUUCAAGAAGAUUAAUGCCUCGCCACAACAAGGGGCACAACAACAUCAAAGUAGAGAUUAAGCAGUAUUCUCAAAGCUAAAACUCUCAAAUCCACCCACCAGAAUUUCAUAUCUCCUCAACAAUUUUAAGAACUAAAGAUAAUUAGGAUUUAACAUUAGUUUUUUAUAUAUUAGUUUCAUAAUUUACAAAUCAAUGAAGAUGAAGAUUAUGCUAAUAAAUUCAAAUUAUACCAUACAUUCUCUAGAUGUUACCAAAAAUUUCUAAGUCAAUCCCACAUAUUUCAUAAUUUUAAGACUAGAAAAUUUCACUAGUUAGAAGUUUCAUUACCUUCAAGUGGAAGAUGAAGAACAUUAUACAAGUGAUUCAGAUUAUAUCAUACAUACUCCAAAUGCAACUAGAAAUUAACAAGUUCAUGCGCACAUAUUUCAUAACAGUAAAAAUUUGUUGCUCAACAUGAUGUGUAUUUUUUUUCAAGGCAAUUUGGAAACACAAUUGUUUCUACAGAUAUUCUUCUCAACUUGGAGAUAAAUACAAAUAUUAAAAUGCAUAUGAUCGCACAUAUUACUUCGAGUUUAGUAAGAUUUCAUUAAAAGAAGCAAUCAAACCACUUAUCAAUUGUCGCAGUCGUUCUAUAAACUAAAAUAGCAAUAUAAUACAAGAAAAAGAACAUAUAGAUACUUGGCAAGAGUUCAUUAAGAAGUCGCAUCACAUUCGGGUGAGGAGUUUUCUGAUAUCUUGCUAGCUGGGGCUUUUUCUUGUCUUUCUACGUAUGCCGAGGGAAACCAACCAGCUUGGCCCUUGCAUUCACCUUCCGACCAUCCAGUAGGAGCCACCUUGAGAAGUUAUAACUAAAACGGUGAAUUAAACAAAAGUUAAUCGUUCAAAGACCUAAGGGGAAAACUAAUUCUUUUACGUAGGAGGAGUGAAUUAGUUGUGAUCACUGAAAUAACAGCAUAACUAUAGAAGCAUAACAAGAUAUAAAUUCACAUGUCUAUAAGGGUAAACUGGGUGGUUUAGAACCGAGCUAGCAGCCCUACUAUAUUCUGAUUUGCACUUCAAUGUAAAAGGGAAUAUAUGGUAGGAAGAAAGAAAACCAACCAUCAUUUGUUAACUCGUUGCUUUUCAAUCAAAAUUUUAAGAAAAAAAUGCCAUGUGCUUUGAACAUCAAAUAAGUAUAAGCAUUAGUUCUAAAUUCCACAUAUCAUAAGUUGUUAGAAGGAUAAGUUAAUAGCAGAGUAGAAAAAUCUAUGUGUUGGUAUUUAGAGGGGAAAGUACCUGGCGAACCACAACAUAAUCAUCAAUUGAAAGACUUAGCUUUCCAUUUGCUUGAGCAUCAAAUGGAUGUAUAACCUGCAAGAUAAUGGGAUAAAUAGAACUUAAAAAAAGCAUAACAAAAGUAGCAACAGUAGCAGCAACGUUCAUUGUAACCACUAUGAUCAUGGCCAACAAAGAUAUAUUAGAAACAAAAUUCCAUUUUUACUACGACAUUAAUAUGUACUAUACGAUAUCAUGACGAUUGGGUUACUAAGAGCUAUCAAAGUCUAAUAAGUUCUGUAUAACUUUAUGUAGUUAUUUAAAUUAUGGAUCAGAUUUUAAAUUUGAAAUUUUGACUGCUCUCCACAAAACAUGGCCUAUGCACAAGAAAGUCAUAGAUAAUGAGGAUUACAAGUGUCCGACAUCUUUUGAGUGAUGGAUUUAACAUGAGAGCUUAUGGUCAGUCAAUUUCCUCUGCCUAGCAAUAUAAGCUUUCUCGGCCAGAUUUAUCUUCAAAUACAUAGAUUGCCCCCAAGUCACAUCCAUAUAAACAUAGUUUUUCUAGGUAAACCAAGUAAGGAGUAUCAUAAUUCAGACAUAAUCAUAAAAAGGCCCAUCUAACUUAAGAGAAAAUCUCAAAAAGAGGGAUGCUGAGCUAUCAGUCUUGUAUCUAUAAGCAAUAUCAAGACUUUACAUCACCUGCUACAUCGUGAGUGGCUACACAACUUUCAGUGGUUUGUCUUUCUUUGGCAUGCCUAACUCAGCUUUGAUGUUGCUGAGAUAUUGAUAGUAGAGACACAUGAUACUUCUAGCUCAUGCAUUCUAUCUAACUCAUCCAACAACUAUCUCUUUUUUAAUUCAUUAGUGUUUGCUAAACCUCAUGCUUAAAAGUCCUGUUCUCCUAAACAAAGUUUCCUAAGAAUGACUUCCUUAGCACCACAUUUGGACACUUUUAGAGCAAUUUUAUUUGGGGGAAAAGAAUUUUCAAGGUGUUAACUAAUAAAUUUUUAAAAAAUAAUUACAAUUUGUCCUACGAUCAUAUGACAAUUUAUCUGGGAUGAAAGGAUACAGAUAGACAUCUUCCACUUUCAAGACUAAUCACUACUUCCGUAGAUGUUGUGCAAUAAUACAAAUACUUGACCAGAUGGUAGUAAUGGUAGAAAAAAAUUUUAUUGCUCCAAAAUUAAAAUAAGAAUGCAAUAUGUUAAGCAAAAGGCUGUGCAACAUCAAAUUAAUUGAUAAGUUUGUAAUUCAGUAAAUUAACAACUUUCAUGGUAAAAUACAACAAAUUUCUUUUGAAAAAAAUAAAAAAAAUAAAUCUUAAAAGACAGCAUUCAAUUUUGUGCGCAUCUUAUUUCUUAAGAUUUUUCAGGAGGAGGGCAAUAGAGGGACUUUCACCUAUGCAAGAGAGCAGAAGCCUUACUUUCCCUAUAAAGUAGACGUCAUUCUGAUUAAUAUGCGUUUGCAAAUCAGCUCCGUUUGAAUCAGUAUUCUGAUAGACACACGAGGCAUUUACAUCCAUUUCCAAAGUCACAUGUUGCGAGGAGGACUCAUUUGAUUGCUCCUAUACGAUCAUCUAAUUCAAGUAGCAAGGGUUGGAAGAGAAUAAAAAGUCACAAUUAUUCUUUUGCAUAAGUGAGACGAAAAUGAUAAAUGCAAUAUUAUCAGCAGUAAACAAGAAGAGAACGCUCCAAGAAAUAGAUAGAUGCAGACAAGCAAGUUAAAAUGCAUAGUCCCAAACCUCCGCAUACAACUUCUCUAAAGUAGCAAUAACGUGUUGAUGCUAUGUUUUCUCAGCAUCUACCUGCAAAGGCCCGAGACCAGGAAAACAACAAUAAAACCACUAGCUGAAGGAGAAAGCAAAGAAAGAAAUACACUUGACAUAAAUCUUGACAAGAAGCACAAUUUAAGACAUAACAAACCCCAAUCAUAUUGUUUAGAACUACCAUUCGUUAUUUCGUUAUUGUAACAUUUCGAACAAGUGUUGACUUAAUUCAACAUUGUUGGAAAGAUAGGCUUUUAGAAGCAGAAGAAAGCCUCUCAAACCAAAGUGCUUGUCCUUGUAUUGAUCAAGGGAUGUAAACAUAUUACAUUUGCAGGAUGAGAUUUAAUCACUCCCCUGAUUUAUUUGGGUUGCAAUAAAACUAAGCGAGCAACUGUUUGACUUUCAAGCAACAACUAAAUCAGCUAUUAAAAUUCAAAUAAAAUCAUAAUAGAAUAAUAACAGGCCAUCUUGCAUCAAAAAUUAAGUUUAAUUUGUGAAUUUUUUUCUAUAGACAUGUCAGUUUCUGCUAUUGAAAUGUUAAAAGUAUUGAAAAAUUAUUCAAUAAAUUAUGCAAGCAUUAAAAUAGAGGAAAAAUUAAAAAGUUUCUAAUUACAAUGUUAAUAUUUCCUAUAUUUUAGCAUUUGCAUAUUUUAAUUUAUUUAAAAGCUACGUCGAUCAACUUUGGGCAUGAAGAUUUUAGAUUCUACGAGACUUGAUUGGAAUAUGCAUAAGAGUGUUAAAAUAUGAUGCAUCCAACGAAAGACAAACCACGUGUAGUCUUUUAAUUAAGCCAAAGUAGCAGCUCAAACAAAUGACACUUGGACCAACAUGCAAUCAUGAAGUGGCCGGAAAAAGGACAAAUGCUACUUUGGCUUAAAUAAAAAAUAACAUGUGACUUGACUUUUGCUGGACAUGCAUCAUGUUAUUACAAGACAACAGAAAUCAGUAUGAUAGUAAUAAAAGUUGACAAUAACAUGAAGAUAAGAGGCAGAAUGUCAACACAUGCAUAGGCACACACAAGAAAGUAUUAACAUAUAUACCAUAGCAAAAACUCUUUGAUAUGUCAUCUGUUGCUGCUGUGAUUCAACUGACAGCAUGGCAGCUGUCGCUUCUCUACCAAGAGCCAUUAUUGUAGAUUUAAGCUCGGUCAAUCUUGCUUCUGCAUUUCGAAGCUUCACAGCACUCUCUGCUGAUAUAUCAGAUUCCCUAAUCUUUGAUCGGUGCCUAAAUACUUCAGCUGCCUGGUGAAAAUAUUCAAUAUAAAUCUAAUAUAAUUCUCAUCUUGCCUUAUACAUGCAUAUGUUACCUCAAAGCUUACCUGGGCUUCAACUUCAUGUCGAAGUUUGUCAUAACGAUGAGUCAGGUGUUGAGCAUCUUCCAAAGGUGCUCUGUUGAUUAACGCCCGUAGUGGCUCAGAUACCUACAUGUCCAAAAACCUGUAACAUAGUUAGAAAAAUGAAAAGAAAGAGCGAAACCUAAAUUAAAAAGUUCCUCCAACAUAAUCAUGGAAUUUGGGCCUACUUUAAGAAUAUAUAUAAGGAUAAUUUAUGCAAUUUUGGGUCUUAGGAUGAUUGGUAUUAGGUUAGUGUUCUUCUCUUCUGUAUUUAAGGUUAAAAUAGAAAUAAACCUAUGCAAAUAUCUAAAUUAGGCCUGUAAGACAUCCACAUGCAUCCUUCAGUCUCAUGGAUUUGAUUUUACUAUAGAUGCAAGUGUCUUUAUCGAAAAUGCUUGGAGUCAAUUGAGAGAACUCAUGGCCAAUAACUUGUCACACGCUAGUCUUUGCUAGUGAUGUAAGAAGUCACAAGGUCUCUUCAACAUUUGAACCAAUAAAAUUAUUAAGUCAUGGAUGUCACUAGCAAUGAUUUUAAUAUAAAACAUUAAAUAUUUCAGAGUUGUAACUUUAAAAUGGAUUCUUUUAUUCAAUAUCAUAGAACUAAGUUUCCUUAUGAGAAGAUAAUAGUUUCGAUAAUAAUUUUACAUAUAAUUUUCUAUAUUUGAAUUAUUUUCUAGUUAGGGAUGAACUAACCUGAUCACGAAGAAUCCCGAGCAAAGUUUCCCUCUCAUUUUCCAUCAAAUCAUGUGAAGUGCCAAAUUGAAGAGCAGCUCUUGCAACGCAAGAAUUGUCACUUUGAUUCUCUGCUCCAUACUUGCAACAAUCUUCAGCCAACUUUCUCGCUACACUAUUUGAAUACAAAAAUAUUGUACACAAGAACUAUAAAAAACGAAUGAAAAAUAAAUAAAAUCGAGAAAUUUCACUAAUUAAAAGUCUAAAUAUAAUUUUUGAAAAAAGAAAAGAAACGGACUUGCUGCUGCUUGGCGACUUGUUCUCGGAGCUUGAUUGCCUGUUUCUUGAUAGUUUCCAUACUGUUUCUUUCAAAAAGCGACGACGGCUCAGCUCAUGGAAGUGGAAAAAAAAAAGUGUGAUCUAGAAAAAUGAAAAGGCGUGAAUAAUUUUUGACAAAAAGCGAAAAUCAAGGAAAGCCGGCUCUUUCCAGAAAAUAAAAAAAAGAAAAUCAUAAGUUUGAAAGGAGAAGAUGAUAGUGGAAGUAUGCGGUGUGGCUGCCAGGUACUUGGAUUGUAUUGUCGGGUAAGGUAAUAGUAGCGAAUUAUAAGUUUGAACAGAGCAUGUUGGACUUUUGUUGACCAAAUUCAAAAGCCCAAUGGCACGGCCCGGAAGCUUUUGAAUAGAAAAACUUGCUAGAAAGCAUCAGUUUAAAUCACUACUUAAACGCUUGCUUUAACUGCACCGCUUUGUACUGUUUUAUGUAUG
rnacentral:lncRNA from 1 species